rnacentral:lncRNA from 1 species
AGAAAUUGCGUGAAGAAAUUGCGGCGCUAGGAAAAAAAUAAUACCUAGGAGCCUGUUGAGCCGUCCGCAGAAAAAGAAGUUAUCGUGUUGAAGUGGAUAUACAAGGCAAAAUAUAAACAAGAAGGAUUGAUCCAGAAAAUAAAGGCGCGACUUGUUGCAAAAAGUUAUUUAUAGCAGACAGGUAUUGAUUUUAAUGAAACUUUUGCACCCGUAGCUAGAUUUGAUACUAUUAGAACUAUUUUUAGCUUUAGCUGCACAAAAUAAAUAGAAAGUUUUUCAAUUUGAUGUUAAAUCAACCUUUCUUAAUAGAUUUUUGGAUAAAAAUGUUUUUGUUGAGUAAUCACAGGGUUACACAGUUAAAGGAUAAGAACACAAAGUUUACAGACUACGGAAGGCAUCAUAUGGAUUGAAAUAGGCUCCACGAGCCUGUAUAGUCGGAUUGAUUCGCACUUUAUUCAACACAAAUUUUUUAGAAGUGAGAGUGAACCCACACUUUUUAUUAAAUCUCGAGGUAUGGAGAUUUUGAUUAUUUGUCUUUAUGUUGAUGAUUUGAUUUAUAUCGGAAAUAGCACAGAACUGAUCGAUAAAUUUAAGUAUGAUGAUUGAUGAGAUGAUUGAUUUUGGUCCCUUGAGUUACUUUUUAGGCCUAAAAGUAAAAUAAGGAGAUAAUGGAAUUUUUUUUGUCGAAAAAAAAAAAUCUGGGUGAUUUGCUUGAAAAUUUUAAUUAAUAUGAAAGACUGCAAUCCCAUGCAAAAUCAACUACGUACAAAUAUGAAGCUAUUAUUGGAUGAUAGAGAAGAAAAGAUAGAUGCAAGUUUAAACAGAAGUUUGAUUGGAAGCUUGCUCUACAUUAGUAACAGUAGACUAGAUAUGGUGUAUGCGGCGUCCUUAUUGUCGAGAUUUAAGCCCAAGCAAAUACAUUGGGGAGCAGCGAAAAGGAUAUUGAGAUACUUAAAAGGAACAAGACACCACAGGCUAUAGUAUACCCAUUUUUACGGUGCGGGUACAGUAUAUCAACUAUUCAAACUCGAUCCGAUCCACGGACACCUUUAAAAUAAAGAAUAAAAUAUCCCAAUACAAGAAAGGUACAUCACUUUUCAUGAGCACAAGAACCAUGAAAAAGCUAUCAUACUCCAUUAAAAGUACAAAAUGGCAUACCAAGCAAUAUAUAAGACAUCUUGGGUGGAUAUGAUCCAUAUAUUAUUACAAUACACAUGGGUCGAAAACAUACGUAACUAUCAUAAUGUAAUAUGAACUAUACACCACUACACCGACCGUUCCUAACGCAAGUGGCAAAGGGCUUGGUCGUUGAUAUAUACCCACCCGAAAUCCUAAAUUUGAAUCCUAUUUAAUUCACAUUUUCAACUAAGUUUAUUAAAAAAAAAAAAAAACGAAGCGAAUAGCAUGCUACCUUUCUCUCUCUUAGAAGAAAAAAGAAAAAAACUAUUGCAAUACUCAUGGGUCUGUAAGUCUUAUUGAAAUUGAUCCCUCAACUUCACCGCGUCCGCUUCCGCGUCCAGGUCCGAGUCCGAGUCCGGAUUUAAAAACUAUUUUGGAUCCUACCAUUAAAAGUUCAGAUUCAGGUUGAGUCUAAUUCAGGUAUAGGCAUAAAAAAUUCGGAUUCAUCCACAAAGCUUUAAUGGGUAAUAUUUUUUUAUUCAUAUACUAUCCGGGUAGGGUUCGGAUAAGGUAUGGAAUAAUAUCGGGUAUUUUAGACAGCUUUUAGUCCACACACACUGGGGCCGAAACGGCUGGCCGGCUCGGUCACAAAUCUGGGUCAUGCUAGGUCGGGCCUAAUUUUUGGAUUGUUGGCCCAGCACAGUACCCCAGAUUGGAUAGCAUGGACCGUACAAUGCCAGUCCAGGUCCCGUGCAGUAUAUACAUUUGUUUAUUUUAUAAAAUUGUAUUUUAAUUUUAUAAAAUUCUAAAUAAUGAAAAAUGGCCAAACCCAGAUAGAAAAAUCUAAAUACUGGAAGGGUAUUUCAAUCCAAACACAGAAAAAGGAGUUAGUCCGGCCCUUGGGAAACCCCAGCUUGGAUUCUCAAGAAAGUUCAAGAAUUAAUUUGAUCAAAGAUCCCAUUUGGCAUUCACACUUAUUUUACCUAAUAAAUAAAUGGAGUUGGACUUAGAACAUAUAGAAAUAUACUUCUACGCUUUUCGGUAAAACCGAAAAAAAAAAAAAAAUUAUCUCGUAACCAACAGACUCUCAUAUGCACAAUACGAUAUUAUAUAUGAAAAUAAACAAGGUACAAUAUCUCUGCAAAUCCCAAGUGAAUCAUAAAGCUUUGUUUGGCUCGGGAAUUAGUAGAAACUAGUUAUUCCAGUGAUAGGUAUAAGUAUGGAUUUUUGCAAGAAUAAGGGUAUUCUUUUAUUUGGAUGAAAAUGUGAGUAUAAACUGAAACUAGAAAAAUUGUGUUUGGAUGGUUAUUGGGAAUAAGAGAAAUAGUUGAUAGUUAUAAAUAGAAAAUAAUGAUAUUACCUCUAUAAUUGAAUUUAAAAUUUAUAAUUUUAAAUUAAAAAUUUUAACUUUUAAAUUUUAAAAUUUGAAAUUAAAAUUUAAAAUUUUAGUUUUUAAAAUUUUAAUUUUAAAUAUCAAAUUUUAAAUUUAAUACCAAAUUUAAAUUUGAAAUAUAUAAAAUCUCAAAUUUAAAAUUUAAAAAUUAAAAAUAUCAAAUUUAAAAAUUAAAAAUUAAAAAUAUAUCAAAAUUAAAUAAAUUUAAAUUUAAAUUUAUUAAAAAUAUUAAAUUUAAAGUUUAACUUUAAAAUUUAAGAAAUUUAAAAUUAUAAAUCUUUUAAUUUUGAGAUUUAUAAAUUUAAAAUUUAAAUUCUAUUUAGAAAUCUCUCUGUGUGGGGGGGGGGGGGGGGACAAGUCUUGUUCCCACUAUACCGGAUUUUACCAGUACAAAUCCAGGUAUGGUGGACAAGUGUUCCACACACCACCACCCACCCAAAUUUUCGUUUGGGUACAAGAGGGGGAAUAAGGGAAUCCCAUCUUUUGUACUCAAUCCAAACGCCCUCUAAAUUUAUAAAGGGGUUCAGCCCAACGAAAAGGAGAGAUCGGGCUUGUUUUUUUUUUAUAAGUCUUUUCUAAUUCUUAAAAUUUAAUUUUAAUUUGUUAAUAUUAGUAUAUUUUAAAAUAAUUGUUUAAAUUUGAAUAAUUAAAUUAUAAUUGUAAACAGAAAAAAAAAGAAUAUAAAGUAUUGAAGAAUCAAAAAUAGUGGUCUCAAACCGCGCUAGCCCAUUUGAGCCAUGGCGUGUACCUGAUUUAGAGUCUACUUCCAUUGCUUAAGUAGACAUUUUUUGAAGAGGCAUUUAAUGAUAACUUCAUCGGGAUCAUCCCUCAACUACAAUACAAAUAACCAAUCGUCCCUAGAGCAAGUGGCAAAGGACUUUGUGGUUGGUACCCGAGACUCAAGUUCGAAUCCUAUUUGAUUCACAUUUCCAGCUAAGUUUAUUUCUAAAUGAAAUAAACGAAGUGGGUAGCAUACUACCUAACUCUCAAAAAAAAAAAAAAAAAAAAACUACAAUACGUACAAAUAGAAUUUUUCAACUAGAGUUUUGUACUUUUUGUAAUGUUACAGGAAUGACGGCUAAAAAUAAUAAUAAUAACUCCAAAAGAGUUCUUUUCUACAACAGUAAGCAGAGAUAUUAAAUUGGAGUUUGUACCUUAAUUAGGAAUUUGUACUCUCAUAUUAUAGUUUUUUUGUAGAAAAAAAAUUCAGAAUUUUUCUUCUUAAGAGAGCUGGUUUUGAAAAACCAACAGUAAAGAGAUCAAAGCCAUAAGAUUUGUGUGUUUAUUUCACAUGAUUUUCAUACAUGUACUCUUUUGCGUGUAUGAGUGAGUGUUAAGUACAAUAUUUAAAUCAUUUCCUACCAUAUCAAUUAACAUAUUUUUUCAGAAAAAGAUAGCAUGAUGGACACAGAUCAAUUAAGAUAUUGAAAGAAAUAGAUAAUUUUUUGUAUAUAUUUUAUUUCUUGAUGAAUAAUGUUUCUUGUAGAUGAAAGUUACAAUGCAGCAACUCUCAUAUAGAAUACUACUUGUAUAUAUGAGUGAUCAUAGGUGGUAGAUUAUUAGUUACACAUGAUUGGAAAAUUUGGUCAACUAAGAUAUGAAAACAAUCACGGUCCAUUAUUAACUAUCCAUUAUUAGAAAAUUUGAUCAAUUAAGAUAUAAAAAUUAUCACAAUCUAUUAAUAGAAAGGAAGUAUGAUAAUCAGAAUUAUAGUAACUAAAGAUAAAAUUACUGUAAGCAUAACAGGUAUUUCAUCCGCAUCAUGCAUCUUAAUAAAUACUUGAUCCAUAUUAUCUCUACGUUAAGAAGGCAUUUGGUUCGAUAAAAUUGUAUGUCAUUAAUAUAGAUAAAAUUGGAUGUCAUUAAUAUAGCUACACGUAUUUUGUUUAGUAGAAUAAACUAAAAAUAGUGCAACAACAAAUAAUUUGUUUGGUUUCAUGCAGUUAGCUAGGAAUUGUAUUUAUAAAUUUUAUCAAUUUAUCUAUGUAAGCAGUGAGAUUUCCCUAAUAUCAAAGUAAAAAAAACUUGUUUUCAUUUGAAAUAAAGGUGAUCACCAGGUGAGUAAGCUUACAUCUUCUUUUAAAACUACAGUUGGAAUUAUGAUCAAUUUGCGUGCAGUUCCAACUAAUUUAGUUAAGCUGCCUCAUGCAUUUCUAAUAACAGUAGUAGAAUUUAGCAGAGCCAAAUCAAACACCGUAAGUGAAUGUGCAUACGAUCAUAAGUGUAAUGCAAUAAUUAUAAUGACAUGCAACCAAACAGAUUCUGAAUUUGAGUGCGCUCUUCAUCGAAGCAGAACUGCACUUAAUCAAAAACUGGCGUAGAGCUGCCGCGAGUGCGGGCCUACCACUGCUGUCCGCACCGCGCUGGUGGCAGUCGUUCCUUUCUGCCAAAAGGUUUUUGGUCCACUAGAGCUAUCCUUAUCUGAGGAUAUUACGCAAGAAGCACACCCUUCCAAAAAACGUCGUCAACUUCACGCAUGUUUAAAUAUCUAGUUCGAUUCUUUUUUGCUUUUCAUAUCUUAAUAAUUGCAUCUACUUACACUGUAUAUUCAUAUUAUUGUCGUUGUUAUUUUUGAAAGAUAGUAUUAAAUUAUGUGUUUUUAUCCAUCUCUACACGGUAUUUAUGCUUUUUUAUAUAUAUAUAUAUACUUCCAUGCACUAUAUUUUACUCUCAAAGACAUCAUUUAUACCAUACAUGAUAGGAAAACCUAACAAGUGUACGGCAGCCUCCUUCUCACUUCAGUAGGGCUGGCAAACGAGCGAGCCGGCUCGCGUUCGACUCGUGUUCGGCUCGAUAUUCGGCUCGCUCGAGCUCGACUCGAAAUUAAAUGAGCCGAGCUUGAACAAAAUAAAAGGCUCGAAAUUCAUUUCAAGCCGAGCUUGAGUAUUACUCGGCUCGUUCGAAUUAGGCUCGAAAAGCUCGAAUAUAUAUAUAUAUAUAUAUAUAUAGAGAGAGAGAGAGAGAGAGAGAGAGAGAGAGAGAGAAGAGAGAGAGAGAGAGAGAGAGCAAGGCUACUGUGUUAUUAGGAGCACAGCAGUCUGUGCUCCUAACUUUCUAAACAUUAUCAAGUUUGAUGGAUAGUUAGAAUAGAGAGAGAGGAGAUAUUGAGGAGAAAUUGGAUGUUCAAUUCUUUUCUUCUUGAAUUUUCUCUUCAAAUCUCUUUCCUUUCUCAUUCUAUACAUCCAUCAAAUUUGAUGGUGGUUAGAAAGUUAGAAGCACAAGGGCUGCUGUGCUCCUAAUAAGCAGUAGCCUACUAUAUAUAUAUAUAUAUAUAUAUUUAUAAAUAUAAUGUAUUUUAAUUAUAUAUAGGCUUUAAUUAAUUUGGUAUUAUAGUUGGCCAUAAAUUAACCCAACAAGUACAAGCCAUACAAUUGAGCCCAACUCUUAAAUUUACAUAACACUCUCUCUCUUUCGACUUUCACUGUUGCACAUAUCCUAAAACAUUAUAACAUUCAAAUUCCAAAUCCCUAAUUCCCCCCCCCCCCCUCUCUCUCUCUCUCUCUCUCAAGACCUCACCCAGUCAGGCAGUCACCCUAGCUCACAUUUCUUGCAAUUAUUUUGUAUUAUUGAACUAUUGGACAUGUUGCAUCAAAUUGUAGGUAAGUUCUAUAAAAUUAAACUAUUGAUUAUAUAUAAUGUCGAGAAUUUCAAUCGGGCUCGUUUAGAGCUCGAGCUCGGCUCGACUCGAAAUUAGCUCGCUCGAGCCUCGGCUCGAAUUAAUUUCAAGCGAGCUGAGCCUAGAUUUUAGGCUCGAAAUUAAUUUAGCCGAAUUUGAGCUCGAAUAAGCUCGCCGAGUCGGUCGUUUCCACCCCUACACUUCAGUGGGUCCGCUUUUUUUUUUUUUUUCUCUCUCUCUCUCUCACACACUCUCUCUCUCUCUCUCACACACCCUACAUCCUUUUUUUUUUUUCUCAACAUUUUUUCUUUUUUGUUUUUGUCACUACCAAGUAUAAAAUUUUAUCGCAUGAACCAAUUCUAUUUUUUAAUAGUUAAUAUAACAAAAUUAAAAUUUCAUAUGGUGUAAAAAAAAUUAUAUACCGAAUGUAUAAGGCAUGCUUAUAUACCACCCCUGUGGUUUCACACUUUUUCACUUUAGUACCUUGUAGUUUAAAGUGCAUCAAGUUUGUAUAUUGUGGUUUCAUUUUCUCUUUUCAUAAGCUCCUCCAUUAAUAUUUCGUUAAAUUAUAUACAAAAAAAUUUCAGAUGCUCCACUUAGGUUUAUCGAAUAUUCACUUUAAUACUCUUUAGUUUAACUUUGCCCCUGAUUUAACGAAAAUUAAAAGAUAGUAGAAUGAAAAAUAAAAAGAGAAAAAUGAAGCUACAGGGUACUAAAUUGAUACACUUUACACCGCGUGAUAUUAAAGUGAGAAAGUGAGAAACCACAUGGUUAGUAUUUGAAGUUUUUCCUAAUAAAAAUUCAUGCACAAAAUUUAAUAGAUUUUUACCUUUAUUCUAUAUCCUCAGUUUUACAUUUGUUUGGGUCUAACAAAAUAGGGACAUUUUCGAAAUUAUUGCUGCAGUCUAGAGACAAAUUAUUGUUUAAUUUAUUUUUUAGAUAUGUUUUGCAAUAUAUAUUUGUUUGGCUCUAAUUGUUCUAUCGCUAGCUGGUAGACAGAAAUUAUUGCUACACCCGGUGUAUAAGACAUUCUUAUAUAUAUUCUUUAAUUUGAUUUUAACUUUAAUAUAAAUAUAGUUUAGCUUUAACAAGUCACAACUAUCUAAUAUAAGACCUCCAACUUUAGCUUUUUAGUAAAAAAAAAUUAUUUAUAAAAUAGGUAUCAAAACUAUUAAAUUUAAUUAAAUUUUUAAGUAAAAUUAUUAGAAUAAUUAAGUAUAUAAAUAUUAAAAGUUAAAAAAUAUUAAUAAAAUAAUUAUUUUUUAGAAAAAUUUGUAUAUUAUAUUACAGUACAACAAAAAAUCUAUUCCAGAUACGAAGAAAUGAUGAUCGUGAUGUGGAGCAGUUAUAUCUUCGGUUACGAGAAUAUGAAAAAAUAGAUAUUGUGAACUAAAAUAUUAUUUUUUCUGCUGCAUCAUGCGAGCCCUUAGCUAGUUAAACUAUGAAAUCUCUAUAAUACUGCAAAUACAUUUAUUAUUUUAGAAAGAAGCUCCUGAAGGGACCGGCCCUGGAGUUAACAAGCACAACUCAAACCCACAUAGCACACGAGCGCAGCAAGAACAGAAUCUUUCAUAGACGUAAGAGACGAGAACAAUCGUAGGAAAAAUAAACAUGAAGAUAACAAAAUAAUAAAGGAAACAAGAGAUGAUAAGAACACAAGAUUUACGUGGUUCGGCCAACCAUGAGUCAACUUACGUCCAUGGGCAAGACUAUUAGGAUUUCCAUAUAUUGUGGCCCAAUUAAUCAUAUUUAAUUUAGGAUUUGCUAUAUAUAAAGGUCAAUCCUAACAGAUUUAGAACUACUUGAUAUGGCAUAUUUUAUCCCUAUCCCAUCUAUUUCAAAUUUAAAUAGAAUCCUAAUCAGACUUUGAUGGAAAGUCGAUUUGGGCUCUAUAUAAAGGGGUAUUGGUGCUGCCACCUUCUCAUACGUAUUCUGGUGAAGAAUUAUCAUCGGUUCCACACCAUACGGUAGAGUGCCUGAGAUAGGAGGAGAAACCAAAUCACCCAAGUUCGGUUUGUGACUUUCAGAUCAUAGCCGGACUUCACGCUUCUACAGAUUGAUUAGGAAUUUCUUCUCUAUGGCGCUCUGUGAGUUAUUUAUCGUAUUUGAUCCUGGAUUUUGGUAUGUAUUUAAUUUGUUUCGUAUUUUACAUAUCUUGAAAUUUUAUCAAUUGGUAUCAGAGCAAGGUUGAUAAAUUAAAUAUUAUAUGUAUUAAAUAAUUGGAUCAAAUUAUGAUAAAUUUUGAGUUUUCGUAAUAAAAGGUUUUACAGUUUUUGAUCCUAAUUAAGAUCACACAACCGUAUAACUUGUGUAUGGAAGGAUUUAUGUAGUGAUUCAUUCUUUAAAAUUUUAUAAAAUAUUACACAUUACGUGAUCUUAAUUUGUGGGCCAAUUAAGUUUGCAUCCUUCUUGAUCACAUGAGGCAUGGUCGACUGCGGCGGUGACAUGAUACCGUGAUCGUUAAUCCUUCGGAAAUUAGGUUAAUAUUAAGGUGCGGCUAGUGUCUACCCAAUGACAACCCCAUUCCCAUCCGAUGUGGGACUAUUGGGGUGUCACAGACUCCCCCCGUUAAGGCCCUGACGUCCUCGUCAGUCCAAACACACACACAGCCCAAGAUUACCAGGCGAUGUGAGACUCGUCUCGCUAGCCCGUCAUCCAGACCCUGGCUCAGCCGAGACUCGCCACACGUGUCCAGCUGGUGAACUGGCUCUGAUACCAAAUGUAACGACCCAGCCCACUAGCAACAAUAACUCGUUGGGCCCAACAACCGGCCCAAAAUGCUUAAGUCCAGUUAUUAUUACUAGUGUCUAAGUCUCUUAUAAACCCAAUGACAAUUCCAUUCCCAUCCGAUGUGGGACUAUUGGGGUGUCACAGCGCGGCUUCGUACAUGCAUAGUGGUCAAGAUUUAUUAGUUGGCUUCCUUAAACUAAUAUUCAUUAGCCAAUUACAGAUUGGCUCUAUUUAUUUAUAUGCAUUAUUAGAGCCCGUUCUUGUUUUUGAACCUGUCAUUGGUAGUCUCGUUAAUGAGGUGAAAUUAUUUUGUAGAUGGUCGAGUCCGACCAAUUCAAAAUUUUCUUUGGUUCCGCAUCGGACCUCAAGCAUUAUUAAUUAAUUGCAAGGCUCCUUUUGCAAAUUAAUUAAUUAAGGAUCCGUUUGACUCUGUGGUUAUAUAACCUCUUUUAUUCAUUAGAAUUUGUAUACAUCAAAAUUUGAUCAUCAUGUUUGUUAAAGUAUCGUGAACAUAGAGAAUCCGUUCACAUAAGGAUUUAAUUUUGCAUACAAUAUUUAAUUUAUCAUUUUAUUUAUCUUAUAUUUGUGGUCAAAUUAGAAUAUAUAAAGUUUAAAUUUGAUUGCGAUGUCAUGUUUUAAAUUAUCGCAUCUAUAUUCUUAUUUUGACCGGAUGAACAUGAAAAUUAAAUAAUCAUAAAUAUUUUCGAUUAUUUAAUGUUUGGCGCUGAGUUAAAUUAAUUUAUUAUUUCGAUUGGUUAGGUGCAAGCCAAAGCGACCCUAAUUAAAAGAAAUAAUAAUUUAAUUUACUUUAAAGUAGUGCUUCCAGAUAUUUUCAUGUUAAUCAUGCAGCAUUAAGUCAGAUUAAUUUAUUGCUUCAACUGUUUGGGUGCAAGCCAAAGCGGCCCCGAUCGGAAGAAAAGAUAAGUUAAUUGCUUUAAAGAAGUGCAUGCAAAAAUUGCACCAUAAUAUUAUGUUUAGUCUGCUCCCAAAGGAGGUCUAGACAUGAAAGUACAUGGGUGGUGUAGGAUGGUAAUUUUCUUAUAACUCGUUUGGAGAAAUUUGCCUGGUCAAAGCUAACGAUUUUUUCAUAUGAAAAUUUGAAAUUAUCAAGACCUACAAAAAGGUUUAAAUUAGUCUCUGAUAAAGAGAUUGCAUAUUUAUGCUUAUAACUCCGCUCCCAAAGGAGGGGUUGUGAUGUCAUAUAAAGUAUAUGCGUAAGGAAUGAUUGCAUAUUUAUGCUCAGAACUCUGCUCCCAAAGGAGGGGUUGUGAUGUCAUAUAAAGCAUAUGCAUAAAGAACGAAAAAUACUUAUGCUUAUAACUCUGCUCCCAAAGGAGGGGUUGUGAUGUCAUAUAAAGUGUAUUUUUCUAAUUUUGGUGUGAUAAUUUAUGAUGUGGUAUUUUAUUGAUAAAGCAUGUAUUUUAUUUUUCAGCUAUGACUCCAUUUUCUGUUCCUAUUGGUGAAUAUGUUUCUAUACUUAUAUGGUUCUAAUUAUUCGGAGUGGAAAGAACAGAUCAUGUUCAUUUUGGGCUAUAUGGAUUUAGAUUUGGCACUGCACGCUAAACAACCACCUAAGGUAGUGGGGCCAAUGAGUCCACAGCAGAAAUUCGCGCAGGAAAAGUGGGAGCGAUCCAACCGCUUAAGUUUGAUGCUCAUAAAGUCAAGGGUAUCAAAAAGCAUGAGGGGAUCAAUCCCAGAAUGUGAUAAAGCCAAAGACUAUCUAAAGGCCAUUGAGGAGCAAUUUGUCAGCUCCGAUAAAGCCUUGGCAAGCACCUUAAUGAAUAAAUUGUCUUCCAUGAAGUACUCCGGAAAUGGCUCGAUUCGCGAGCAUAUUAUGGAAAUGCGAGAUAUUGCAGCGCAACUCACCGCACUUAAAGUAACCAUCUCUGAUUCAUUCUUAGUGCACUUUAUUUUGAACUCUUUACCAUCUGAAUGCGGACCAUUUCAGAUCUCUUAUAAUACACAUAAAGAUAAAUGGUCAAUUAAUGAAUUGCUGACCAUGUGUGUGCAAGAGGAAGGCAGAUUAAUACAAGAGAAACAAAAUGCAGUAAACUUUGUUUCUUAGAAGAGACAAAUAAAGCGUGCUAAGAAUAGCAAGGGCAAGUAUGACUCAAAAAGAAAGAACAAGAAAGUUUCAUCUGGUUCACAAGGCCAAUCAAGUAAUUAGACUCCCAAGUGCUUCUUUUGUAAGAAAAAGGAUCAUAUAAAUAAGGACUACCAAAAGUAUUAGAAAUGGCUCCAGAAGAAAGAUAAAUUUCUGGUUUUGAUGCAUGAGUUGCAUUUAGUUUCAGUUCCGUCUAAUACUUGGUGGAUUGACUCUGGUGCCACAUGCCACGUUGCGAAUUUCAUGCGGGGAUUUCAGAAUCGGAGAAAACCCAGUAAAGAUGAAGCAACUAUCUAUACAGCUGAAGGAAAUCCAACUAAACUAGAAUUUGUAGGAACAUUUAGAUUAGUUCUUUCUACUGGUCACAUUUUCGAUUUAGUUGAUACAUUUUAUGUUCCAAAUUUUUCUAAAGAAUUUAAUUUCUAUUUUGAAACUUGUUGGAUUGGAAUAUAGUUUUAGUUUUAAUAAUAAAAUUUUUUCUUUAUCCUAUAAAUCUCAGAUAGUUGGCUCUUGUAUUUUGGAAAAUAAUCUAUAUAAAGUAUUUUUAGAUGAUUCAUUUAGUGAAAUCUUUUUUACCAUGCACGAAAAUGUUGGAUCAAAACGUGGCAUUAAUAAUGAAAGGCCAUCCAUAUUGUGGCAUAAGAGGUUAGGACACAUCUCAAAACAGAGAAUCUAAAGAUUAAUUAGAGAAGGCAUCUUAGAUGAUUUGGACUUCUCUGAUUUUGGAAUGUGUGUGGACUGCAUAAACGGAAAGCAGACCAAAACCUCUUCUAAAGGUGCUAAAAGAUGUGAUGGAACAUUAGAGUUGAUUCAUACCGAUAUAUGCGGACCUCUUCCUUUAUCAAAUACUGGCCAUAAAUAUUUUAUCACAUUUACUGAUGACUACUCUCGAUAUGGCUAUCUCUACUUGCUUAAAGAAAAAAACUGAAGCAUUAGAGCCUUUAAGGCAUAUAAGGCUGAAGGAGAGAAUCAACUCGAGAAAAGAAUAAAAGUAGUCAGAUCAGAUAGGGGUGGUGAAUAUUUUGGUAGACAAACAGAUAAAGGCCAAAUCCCUGGGCCUUUUGCUCAGUUUCUAGAGCAGUGCGAAAUUGUUCCACAGUACACCAUGCCAGGAACACCUGAUCAGAAUUGUCACGCCCCGGAACCGGCGGAGGCCCUCCCGGUAGCGUGCCCAGACCCACCAUAUGUCAACACAUAUAAGGCGUCUACAAUAAAAGCGGAAGUAAAAGCAAGUAAUAAAACAAGUAGAUGAAGUGAAAUAACUAGCAACUAGUGAUAUCAGAGCAAAUAUAGUUCUAUCAUCUAUACCAAGGUAAAGAAGUAAAGCUAGACAGUGAAAGGAGUCAUAAGAAGUACAAUAUCUGUCUCAAAUGUACAAAAAUAGUGGUCUCUAGUACCCAGGCAAAACACUCAACCUCUCGCAAAACAAAACAUAAAUCGAGAGGUGGACCACCUAGCGACUCGUCCUCGAAGGAAGCUAGCUCGAAGCAACUCCCUUCCCGCGAUCCCUGGCCUCACCCUGCGUGGAAGGCUCUGAAAAAUAUCGAGAAAAAGAGGGCGUGAGAACUAUAAUUUAUAGUUCCCAGUGGGUAAUUACUGACCUCAGCUCUAUGCACCACUAGGCCCCAAAAGAAAAGGGUAAGUACUAUAAGCAAUAAAGAGAGUAAUAGCAACAACAAUACGAAAGCAUAAUUGAAGAGCUAAACUGCUGUAUCUCAAAUAAACAUGAUGUUCUGGUGAUGUACAUCUACGCUAUCAAGAGAUAAUAUGUCCAAUGCAUAAAGAGUAAGCUCUAACCAAGCAACCGAGUAUACUACGAUGCAACAAUGAAAUCGGCAUGUGUGCUAUAUGUACCAAUGCUAUAUCAUGAGCAUGUCAAAGUAAUCCAACUACUAACCCUAUCUAGUAGUGAUUAUUCAUUCUCAACACUGUGUCGAUUUCCGUUUCCAAUUAAGAACCCACCCAAGGUAGUCCAGCUUGUGCCGCCUAAGUGCCUGUGGUAGCCCGACAUUCCUACUCUUGGAAUGUGUCUGUCCCACUCGACCCCGUAGGCUUCUCAAUACCGCACGAGCGAACAUUAGUCGCAUAGGCCAACUCCGGAGUGCCGGCUUGUGGGGAGCGACCCUCACAAGCAUGUGCGAAUGAGCACAAAUGGCAAACAAGCAAAGUCACUGUCUCAAGUAUCCAAUCCUCAUGUCUCUAACAUGGUAUAGUCACUAGCAUCCCGAAAUCUAUUCUCAAAGUGAGUAAUGGGAAAUCACCACACUGCUUAGUGCCUCUUUAUGAAACUUAAGCUUCACAACUGGUAUGUUUCAAGUAAGAAUUAACAUUAACGCUCGCUAUUGCCCCGGCCCCAAUCCUCUUCAUACAUUGGCCCAAUCUCACAUAUCUCUAAAUCUCUAACCUCUUAGCUUCAAUAAUCCCUAAUGUCACAACUGGUAUAUAGUUUGAAUGCAUGAAAGCAAGGUUCGUUUUCAUAAUAGGGAGUAAUUUCAAGUCUCAACUAGAAUGCUAGCCACAUAUGCAUCUCUCUACUAUAUAGAGUCCAAAAUUUACUAAGCACAUAACCUAUCAUCUUAAGCAUUCUAAAAUUCAUAUUAAAUACAUUUAACAUGGAAAUGCAUGAAUUUCUAUUUUUACGAAACAUAUUUGCCAUAUAUGACAUUUCAUAUCAUAGGCUAGGUCAAACCGCACCACCGUCGCGUAGGGUCUCAAUUCGCCAAACAAGUUGUCCACGAGUCUCUAGAUACCCUAAAAGUGAUCAGCGAAGAGAUCGAGAGUAUUAGAACCAUUUCGAGAGAUCAACAUUAACCUAGAGCAAAAAUGCUAAAAUUUACUCUAAGUAAAAUUCCCCAAAGCAAAAGAAGCUAGAACCCUUCCAAUCAAGCCUAGGAAGGUUCUAAACAAUCGAUUGGGUCAAAAGCCUAGAUCAAAAAUCCCAAAAUAAACCCUAACAUCAAAUCUAGGGUUCAUCUCAAAAACUAGCAAAACAAGGUCUAGAGGAGGGAAAUGAGCAACCAACCUCCUUAGAAGCUCAAUCCUAGCUCCAAGGUUAAGAUCUCCUCCUAUGCAAGCUCCAACAACUCCAAGCACAAGGAAAAGAGAGGUGAGGAAAGCUCCAAGUCCUCUAAAAGCUUCAAUCUUCUUCUCCUUGCCUUCCUUCUUCUCCUUCUCCUCUAUCAAAGGUGUGAGAGAGUUAGAGAAGAGAAAUGAGAAGUAGAGAGGGUGAGGGGUCAUAUAGACCCUCUCAUUGUAAAAAUCAGCUAGGCGCACUCCAAAAAUCACAAAAUUGAUCUAGCCCGAACUGGCAGUUUCUGCGCCAGAGGGACGUCUCUCCCAAGGGACGGCUCUCGCUAGGCCGAAAACGCAAGCGUUCGGGAACCGUUCUCCCUGCGACGGAUCGUCUCUACACUGCAAGGCGUUCGGGAACCGGUCUCGCCCUGCAGGGGACCGGAUUGCCACUAGGCUGCUCAACACUGUCACUUGAGGGACGCUCGUCCUUCAGGGCGGUCCCAGAGUGAAAUACUCUCAGGACUUGUCAGAUUACCAGUUUUCGGAAUCAUUUGCGUGACGCGGAACAUUACUACGACCUCCACCAAGUUGUGGAAGCUCGAAAAACAUCCAAACACAUCGAACCUCGCAAUUUUCGCAAAAGUCCAGUGUGUUUACAAGAAAGUGUUGCUGCAAGAAGUUGAACCUGCACAUUUAAUUGAUAGUCCAGGAGUAUGAUCUAAGUAAUUCACUCUCGAUAUCAUUGUGAGAUGAGGCACUCAAACUGCAUGUUAUCUUAAUCGGGGUCCACUAAGGCUGUCCUACAAGACUAAUUUUGAGCUUUGAACAGGUGCAACUAGUUUAAAGACAUUUUCAUCACAUGUGGGUUGUCAACUGUAGGCCCAAUGUAUAUAAUCACAAAAAAGAAGUGGAUCCUCGAAACCCAUAUCAGGGAUAUCUUUAUUGUUAUUUUAGAAAGAUCCAAAGGGUAUAAGUUUUUACUAGUCCAUCCUUUCUAUAAAAAUUUGCAUAAAACUAAACAGCUCGGUUUAUUGAGGAUAUGCAUUACGAGAGUUAUGAACUUGAUUCAUUAAUUUGAGGAAAUUCAAUGACAUAUUGGAUUCUUGUACAUGACAGAUCACUAUUAUCUUUCACGAUUUGAGGGUUCUUAUUCCAGUAAAACAACAAGUCGUUUUUGGACACAAAAUGAUGUGAACCUAUAUUGAAAUUCUACAUCAACGAUGCACAAAUGGAGUAAUCCACAUCAGAUGUAUCAAGUUGAUAAUCCAAUAGCAUUUAAGAGAUCUCAACAGAAGAAAGCCGGCUAUAUCUAUGAUUAUAUAUCUAGCUUUAUGAAAUGAGCCAGAGUUUAGAUCGAUCUCUCUAGUUUUCGGAGCUAUAAAUACAGUAAUUACAGAAUGUAACAAUUCAUGAAUUGAUGAUUUGAAUUCAUGACUCACAAUAAGGAUGGAAUCUUGUGAUUAUCUAUAGGAGUCAAACCCGUAGUUCAGUGGUUAUAAAAUCAAAUAGUUCACAAAGAUAACAUAGAGAUAUACAAGGCCCGACCUUGAUGGCGAAAAGAUUCACUCAAAAGAAGGUAUUGACUAUAAAGAGACUUUCUCUCCAUGUAUCAAAAAGAAUUUUCUGUAUUACUUAUGCUCUGGUUGCUUCAUUCGAAUGCUGAGCUACACUAGAUAAUGUCAAAAUUCUUUUUUAAAUGGAAUCUUUAUAAGAGUGUUAUAUUGAAUCAACCUGAAUGUUCUCGCAAUAAGGAAAGGAGGCAUUUGGUAUUCAAAUUAAAGAAAUAAUAUAUGACUAAAGCAGGCCUCCCGACAAUGGUAUUUAAAAUUUAAACAAACUAUUUUGACCUUUAGUUUUAAGGAAAAUAUUGUUGAUCAAUGUAUUUAUCUAAAGGUUAGUGGGAGUAAAAUAAUUUUCUUAGUCCUUUAUGUUGAUGAUAUUUUGCUUGCCAGUAAUGAUCUUGGGCUAUUGCAUAACACUAAAGAGUUUCUUUUCCAAAAUUUUGAAAUGAAAGAUUUAGGUGAGGCCUCAUAUGUUCUUGGUAUUGAAAUAAAAAAUGAUAGACAUAAAGGUUUACUCGGUCUAUCUCAAAAGGCCUACAUAAAGAAAGUUUUGGAAAAUUUUGAAAUGCAUAAUUGUAAGCCCAGUGUUGCUCCUAUCCAGAAAGGGGAUAAGCUUAAUGCUUUACAGUGUCCCAAGAGUGAAUUAGAAAUUGAACAGAUGAAAAUCUACCCUAUGCCUUUAUAGUUGGUAGUCUUAUGUAUGCACAGACGUGCACACGUCCGGAUAUUGCUUUUGCCGUUGGAUUAUUUGGUAGGUAUUAAAGUAAUCCAGGUAUGGAGCAAAGGGCCGGCACCUGGAUCAUAUACAGAUCGUAUUAAAAGUAUGGGUUUGAUUAAUUCUUUCGAUAUAUAAAAUUGUAAUACUUAUUUUCUUUCAAUAAAGUUAAAGUUUAAUGCAGCUGUAUUAGACCAUUUAAUAGCAUAAAGCUUCGCCUAUUAACGAAUGAACAUACAGUUUAAGUUCAUUCAUAAAGUUUUGCCAUAUAAAGUACUCGGCUAGGAGGUGAAAAUGAUACGGUAAUUAUGGAAGGAAAUUUUGUUAUGAAGAGGUGGACCGCCAUAGUUCCUAUCAUUGUAGUCUUUUAGUUUGAGCUAAAUAUUAAGUGAGUUUUAAGGUAUUUGACCAUAAAGUUUUCAGUAAUGCGCAAUAAAGAUUGGAGUAUAGAAAAUCCGUUAAUGGAAUAUGAUUAAUAUGAGCCAAGUGGGAGAUUGUUAGGAUUUCCAUAUAUUGUGGCCCAAUUAAUCAUAUUUAAUUUAGGAUUUGCUAUAGAUAAAGAUCAAUCCUAACAGAUUUAGAACUACUUGAUAUGGCAUAUUUUAUCCCUAUUCCAUCUAUUUUAAAUUUAAAUAAAAUCCUAAUCAGACUUUGAUGGGAAGUCUAUUUGGGCUCUAUAUAAAGGGUUAUUGGUUCUGCCACCUUCUCAUACGCAUUCUGGUAAAGAAUUACCAUCGGUUCCACACCAUACGGUAGAAUGCCUGAGAUAGGAGGAGAAACCAAAUCACCCAAGUUCGGUUCGUGACUUUCAGAUCAUAGCCGGACUUCACGCUUCUACAAAUUGAUCAGGAAUUUCUUCUCUAUGGCGCUCUAUGAGUUAUUUGUCUUAUUUGAUCCUGGAUUUUGGUAUGUAUUUAAUUUGUUUCGUAUUUUACAUACCUUGAAAUUCUAUCAAAGACCACCUCAAUGCUUUCUUCAAUUAAUCCACCGUACAAAAGUAAAGGACUAGAUAGGAUUACAAGAAACUCUCUCUCAGGAGCUUUCCACAUUUUUAUUUCAAUUAGGAUGUCUACAACGAAACUCAUACGAGGAACCUCCAACAAUAAGACUCUAAAUCUAAAAGAUUAAUUACAAGGGUUUAUAUAACCCUACAAUUUUAAUUCUAGUAGGAAAUGAUCUCCGCCUUCCAUCUGAGCCCGAUUUACAUCUAGCCGUCGAUAUCCUCUUAGGAAUCCUCUUUAAAGUGAUCCUGAAUUAUCCCUAAUCUUUUGGAACAAUAUUAGAUCCAAUUAGAGUCAAACUCUGUAUAUCGACUCGCAACAUGUCUUACAUAAUCCAACAAUUCUCCUACUUAAAGACAUGCACCGAACACCAAUUUAACAAAAAAUUGGAAGUUUUGCCAAACUCCUACUCUCCUCAUGUAGCUCUAAUACCAAGAAAAGUAAUGCUCCAAUUGAACUUCUCUCGAGUCACCGGCUUCAUCAAAAUAUUUGUUGGAUUUUCAUUAGUAUAAACUUUUAACAGUGAGAUAAGACCCUCAUCCACCACAUCUCUUAAAAGUGAUAGCUAAUAUCAAUGUGCUUCAUCUGGGAGUGAAAUGCCGAAUUCUUUGCCAAGUGUAUUGCACUUUGACUAUCACAAAUUCACUCCUAACACAUCUUGCUUCACCUUCAAUUCUCCUAGAAGCCAUUCUAACCAAAUAGCUUCCUACAAGCAUGUGCAACUACUAUGUACUCCGCCUCUGUCAUCGACAAAGCGACCACCGACUGAAGCUUCGAUUCCCAACUAAUAACACCACCGUCCAUAGAGAAAACAUAGCUCGUGGUAGACUUUCUCCUGUCUCUAUCUCCUGCAAAAUCUGAAUCCACAUAUCCGAUGCACUCUAAACCCACAGAAUCAUAAUAGAGUGAGAAAUCUGGAGUGUCCCUCAAAUACCUAAGGGUCCACUUCACUUCAUUCUAAUGUUCACAACCUGGAUUCGCUGUAUACCGACUUACUACUUCCACUACUUAAGCAUUGUCGGGUCUCGUAUACAACAUGGCAAAUAUAAGGCUUUCUACUGCCGAUGAAUAUAGUACUCGAGCCACGCUGGCCUUUUCUGCUUCCAUACUCGGUGAUUGCUCGACCGACAAUUUUUAAUAAAUAGGAAAUGGGGUAAAAACUAGCUUUGCGUUCUGCAUAUUGAAGCACCACAGAACCUUCUCCACAUUACCCUUUUGUGAAAGCCAAACCUUCCUAUUCUCCUGUAAUACUUCAUCCUGAGCAUUUUAUUCACUGCUCCUAAGUCCUUCAUAUCGAACUCAUCGGUUAAUUGAGUUUUCAGGGUAGAUCUCUGGCCCUUACUAUUUCCCGCGACCACCAUAUUGUCGACCUAUAAUAGCAAAAUAUAGAAGCUUCCGUCAUCAUAUUCGCAAAAAUAUGCACAAUGAUUCACCUCUAGCUUAUCAAAAUCCAAACGCACAAUGAAGUAAUCAAAUUGCUUUUAUCAACACCUUAGUGCCUUUUUCAAGACGUACAAUAAUUUGUUCAACCGACAAACCAAAUGCUCUCUAUCUCUUUCGACGAAGCCUUUCGGCUAUGACAUAUAUAUCUCCUCCUCCAAAUCACCAUGCAAGAAAAGCUAUUUUUACAUCCAUCUGCUCAAGCUCCAAAUCCAUGACCGCCACAAUGGCCAAAACAACCCGAAUAGUGGUAAGACGAACUACCGGUGAGAAGAUCUCAUCAAAGUCGAUCCCCGACUUUUGAGCAUAACCUUUCAUCACCAACCUUGCCUUCCCCCUCUCCACAUUCUGAUCCAUAUCUUUUUUCACCUUAAAUACCCAUCGACAUCCGAUCGUGUUCCUUCCGUUUGGCAAAUCAACAAGUUCCUAAGUCCUGUUCUUCGGAAGUGACUCCAUCUUCUCCUCUAUCGCACAUUGCCUGUAAUACCUGAGUUUCUUUUUAAAGGAGAAUUCAAAUUUUGAAUUUGAAUUUAAAUUCUCUUAUAUAUAUAUAUAAGCUAUAUAUAUAUUAUGGUUUUGUGGAGACGAAGAGAGGAUGGAUUUGUCGUGAAUCUAUGACCGAUUCAAGCAAAAAAGAAUUGUGAUUUUCAUGGGUCGGCAAUACCAAAAGCGCCGGCGCAGACCGUUCGCAAAUCCGACGGACGGAUAGUCCGAGAUCGUGCGAUCAUCGAGAAGGGUCAUAUUUGGAAAAAUGGUCCACAAAAAUCCCCUAUAUUUUAUGUAUCAAAUCAUGCGAAAUCACACAUGGAGGUGUGUGCACGCGUUUUACAUGCGCUGUGGAGGGCUAGGCUGCAAAUUUUGAGAGAUAAUGGAAUUUUUUGCAAUUAUACCCUCUUGUAUAGAACUAGCAACUAGGGUUUCCUCGUCUAACCCUAACCCUAGUCUUUCUCCCCUCCUAAUCGAGCCCAGCCGCCCCUUCUCUGCCAGGGAGGUGCGUUGUGUGCUUCCCGACCGCCAACGAUCGAAAUCUGGCUGGCUAACGCCGCCCACGAUCGUCAUCUACUUUUCUCUCUCUCCUUCUCUUCCUUUGCCAUUAAACCUGUGAGCAACUACAGAAGGUCAUGCCCCUUCUUUAACCUCACCUGCGGUACCCUGGGACUCCGGCGAUCGCCCUCCUACGACCUCUGUCACCUUCGAUUGCCCCGGAGUGCCACCAUGCUCUAUGUGGUCUCCCUAGUGCGAUAUAGGGCACAGGCAGCCGAGCCGCACUGUGCCGCCUCUUCCGCUGCCAUCCCUAGUGAGCCCCCAUCGUCACCCCCGUCCUUUCCGACUACCACAUGUGUCGGAAGAGGCCAGUGAACUCGAGCCAAGCCUGAGUUGGCCUCGGGUUGGUCCCGCGUGGCCACCGCUGUCUCCCGCCGUCGGAUGGUGCGCGCCUCGACCCCUCCCCUUUGAGCGCACCCCUUCUACCGCCGACGUGUGUGCCGCCGACCUGCCGGCGGCCAGCUGAAGCCCGUUUGCUCCCAGCAAGCCCAGUUAUGGCUUUUUCUGCAUGCCCUUCAUUGUUUCGACGAACCGGGGCCAUUUCGACAUCUUCGAAGGUGAGCACCAUGAUCCCGAGGCUUCACUGAUCACAGUACUCACUUUGUUCUCUGUCGGACAGACCCGCAUCACUGUUUUCGCUUUCAUCGCUCUCGGGGCACUUUCUUCACUGAACUUCGUCUUGCUCCUAUGUGCUCCAUAGUGGUUUGCUAUGCUUUGAACGGUGAGCACGGCCUUCGCCUCUACGAGACCUGUCAGCCCAUGCCUCGGUUGACCUUGAAAAUGCUAGGAUAGCGGUACAAAGCCCUAAACUCCCUUAAUUUGCAUGUAAUACUGUAAUUAUGGUUUGUGGUAGGGGUUUUUGUGCAAAUUGUUGCUUUGUGGCUGCUGUGGGUAGCGUGUAAUCAUGGUAGGUGACCUCUAGAUUGAUCACCCAAGGUCUGAAGCCUUUUGCGGAGACCGAAUAACUAUUUUGUAUGUUUUUCGAUGAAAUCCUCCGACGGAAUGCGGUUUCGAUUGGUUUCACCCGACGCUGUUGGAACGCCUUAGAUUUUGCCACUGAGCCUUGUUGGCUGGCCACCUACAUUGUCUCGAGUGUUAGGAGAUGACGAGUGAGCGGCGGAGGGUUCCGGUGUCAAAUUUGACACUUUCAGGAACCUAGAUCUGAACGAUUAUCCGAUAAUAAUUAUUUCGAUGUGGAACUUAGUGUUUGCUGCCGGGACCCCAAAUGGGUGUGUUUUGAGUCAGCGGGUGACUCGUGACAUAAGUCGAUGUGUUUUGGGACACUUUGUGGUUCCCGGUGACGCCCCUAUGUGAUUUACGGGACUUCCGGUGAGUUACGCGACUUCCGGUGGGUACUUCGAUCCGAAGACGGUCUAGUGGUGCACACUCGGUGAUGUUCCCUGUAAUACACUGAACUCUUGCAAAUUGCGGAGUUCGAGUGCGCGGGAUGAAGUGUGGAUCUAUCCUACAUGUUCUAAAUGACUUGGACAAGUUUUUGACCAAGUUAGAGGAUGAUUGGAAUGCUAAAAGUGAGAAAUUGCAUUGGUCUGCGAAAAUCAGCCUUUUUUUGCUUGCUGUACCGGUACAGCAUUUACCUUGUACCGGUACAAGCUGGCAGAAUAGUGGCAGCAAGGCUAUUUUGGUCUUUUCACAUUUGAUACCUAUCUAUUUGAUCCCAACACGACUCUGGGACUUCAGUGGAGUGUGCUAGAGUGCAGAGGAGCUUCCUCCACCUUCUCUCUCUCUCUCUCUCUCUAGGGUUUUUCUCUCUCUACAUAGAAUUCGACGAUUUCGCUCGUUUUCGUCGCAACGUUGGUUCUUCGCUGUUCGCAAGUGUCGCUGAGCCUUGGUGGACGUGUGAGGGAGUAUUUUGGAGAGCUUUUCGCAGCUCUGAACCAGUGAGGUGCUGGUUGGAAGCUUGAGAAGGUUAUCGACUCGAUUUUUCCGUUAUCGACAUUCUAGUAAUCGAUUUGAGUAUUGAUUUCAGAUUUUUGCUUCCAACUGUUUUAACCUGAGUUUUCAGCAUGUAAAAAUGAGUUAAUUAGCUGUGAAUUAACCUUCUUAGACUAGGGAUAAGCUACUUUGAAGCUUAAUUGGAAUAAUUAGCCAUUUAUGAAGCUAUUUCGGACUAUACACGGGUUAUGCGAUCGAAUUGAUGCAGUUUGGACUUGUUCCUUCGCAGCAGGUUCUCGAACCACUUGGAGUUUAUUUGCUGACCUUGGAAGCUAGUUUAGAAGGUGUUCUAACCUGAGGUAAGCAAGAAUUUCAGUUAAGAAGCUGAAACUGCAAGAAUUCGACUAUUAUAGCUUAUAAUCGACUAUAUUGAUGUCGUUUCGGAAUUGUUCGCAACGAGAGGGUAUUUGACCCUUGGACCGCCUUCGUGUGGCCUUAGAGGGCCUUCUGGAAGCUUAACGUGAGGUAUUGAACUAAGCCAAAAUAGGGAUUUAAGCUAUUCCUAUGUACUAAGUGCAAUUGCGCCGAAAUUGGACGUUUCAAUCGUGAUUUGAUACGAUCUUUGUGCUUCGUGUUUAGCAGGAUUNUUUUUACAGAGCCAUCUACAGGAGAGGCUAGGGAUCGUGGCAAGGGAGUCGCGUCUAGCUAGACUUUGCUAGGAGCGUGCUAGUCGAUCACCUUGCUACUCGGGCUACGGCCGAGGGUGAUGUCCAUUGUAUAGAGUGACUACCAUUGUACAGAUUUUUUUUUUGUGUACCCUGUGUUGUAUAUGAGUUGUAGAUCCAGAUGUUAUAGUUCAUACUUUUUCUCCUUUUGCUGAGAUUUUGAAUUGUAUACUCUUUGUUCUUUUACUGAUAGUAUAUCGACUUGUACAUUGCUCUGAUAUCAGGAUAGGACUCUCUUUGUUUUACUUCCUAUCGACUUGCUUUCAUCGUAGACGCCUUAUAUACUGCAGGUGUAUGGCGGGUCUGUGCACGUACCGGAUAUGCUUCUGCUGGUACCCGGGCGUGAUAGUGUAAUAUACUAAAUCUGGGCCUAUUGACAAGUUCAAGGAUCGGAAUGGCUUUUGGAACUGAUCUACGACGCUUGAUAGACCUUAGAAAGGUUUUGACAAGUUACUGAAGUGAGAAAGUAACUGGAAUUGAAAAAUUGCAUCGUAAAUGCAUUAUCAAUUGCAAUGUUUCGAAUUUGGUCAAUUGCGAAGUUCGAAUGUGAGAAAUGGUAUGUGGAACUACCCUACAUAUUCUAAAGGGCUUAGAUAAGUUUUUGGACAAGUUAGAGGGUGAUUGGAAAGUUAAAAGCAUGAAAAUGCUUUGAUCUGACGAAAAUUAGCAUUUUUCUGCUUGCUGUACCGGUACAGCCAUCACCUUGUACCGGUACACAAUGGCAGAUGUGUGGCAGCAAGGCUAUUUCGGUAAAUUCAUAUGUUGUCUCUAUCCAUAUCACCCCAGCACGACCCCUGGACCCUUGUGGAUGAUGCUAGAACUCUGAGAAGCAGCCUUGCACCUCUCUUACUCUCUCACUCUAGAAGUUUUCUCUCUCUACAUAGAAAUCAACGAUUUAGCUCGAUUUCGUCGCCUCGCUUGUUCUUCACUGCUUGCGAGUGUCGCUGAGCCUUUGUGGACGUGUGAGAGGGUAUUUUGGAAGGUUUUUCGCAGCACCAAACCAGUGGGUUGCCGGUUGGAAGCUCGGUAUGGUAAUCGACUCAAUUUUUCCCUAAUCUAAGCUCUAUUUGUAAGGACUGAGAUUUUGACAGUGCAACUAAACUCUCUGUUGACGAUAUUUAUGUGUGUAAUUUAGUUACAUAAGCACUCAUCAAGUUUCAGGAGAAUAUGAACUAGAAUGGAGAAGUUACGCGAUUAUUAGUUUUCACUUAAAGUGAAUAGUAACCCGGUUUUUCGGUGAAGCCACGGAGUAGAGUUGGCUUUCGGCGCGUAUCAGACUCCAUUCAUAGCGAUCCAAUAGCUCGUUUUGAUCGGCUCGACUAUUCUGGAACCAAUGGCACUGAUGGAUUUUGGAUCUGACGCAUGGUUUUCGAGAAAAAAGGAGUUUUAACAAAAAGAGGGUUUCCGCUCUUUGCUAUUCGUGCAUUUUAAAACUCCUCAUGCUUUGUACAAGUGAUUUGGAGAUGGGUGAGAGAUGUUUCAAGUACCUACUGGUGGCAGGGAAUUCAAAUACGAGUUUGAAUUAAAGGAUUUCGGGUUUCCACCAAGGCCUAUGUAUGAUAUAUAGGUUAGUUGNUUGUUCUUUUACUAAUAGUAUAUCGACUUGUACACGGCUCUGAUAUCAGGAUAGGACUCUCUUUGUUUUGCUUCCUAUCGACUUGUGUUCUUCGUAGACGCCUUAUAUACUGCAGGUGUAUGGCGGGUCUGGGCACGUACCGGAUAUGCUUCCGCUGGUACCCGGGCGUGACAUUCCCUCUACUUUCUCCUUCUAUAUUUCUUGCCUUGUGAUCGUUGAGCCUAACACCAUACGAUCCUAUUGCAUGUUGCUCUAUUUAGUUAGUUUCGUAUUUGCUUAUCAUGAUCUAGAAGUAGAGGGAUUGUUUACUAUACUCGUGGAUUGUGACAUCUGUUGUUACCUAGUUGGUCCGUUAUGUGACUCUCGUUGUUCAAUGACCUAUCCGGUCGGUAUAUCCUGAGGGGUUUGAUUGUUGGCUACUUGUCGACGGCUAUUGGUCAUAUUUGCAUCGAUCGCCAUUGCUCAUACGCAUUUCACGUACACUAGCAGUUUGGCUACCGCAAUGGUGUUCUUUUUUAAAAAAGUGGUCGCACUUCCGACCCGUGAGCCCAGGAGCUUAUGCUAGGGUUAUAUGCUAUUUAGAGUGGUGUGGCACUUGCCUGACGUCUUUAGACCGACACGGUGGAUCUCGAUUAGGUACUUUGGGACUAUUGUCUGGUUAAUACAUUUCACUUACAGUAGCGAUAGUUGUACAUGUAUCUUACUUCAUCUUUUACUUUGCUACUGUAUUACCUUUCAUAGCUAUAUUUUUUGUUACCAGUAAGUACACUCGCCCUCGUCAUCUUGCGGUACCCACUGGGAGACCCUUGUUGGUUUCUCACCCUCCCCUAAUUUCAGGUGAUCUUGGAGGUAUAAGGCAUGAGGUGCGUAUCUAGCGAGCAUUAGAGGUCCCGACCUAGCGGCAACUUUGGUUCUAGACUUGCCCUUUCUUUUUAUGAAUAAUUAGACUAUUGCGGUUCAGUUUGUUUUGAAUCGAAGGUAAUUUCGUUUUGAGAUUUCAAAUAAAGUUAUUAUGGAAAUCAAGUGGAUUUAUGAAAAAUAGUUUUCUAUCACUCGUGGUAGCUCGCUUUUAAAGAUAAAAGACAUUCGUGUAGAAAAUAGUUUUUAAAAGAUUUUUCGCCUUUUCAUGAUCCUAUAUUUCAAAAUGAGUUUCCGAGUGGGAAACACUUUCAACUAGUGUGGAAUCUUGUGAAUCUUGUGAUGUAUCGUUGUGAAUGUAAUUUGUGAGUGGAUGUGGUUAUGACUUAUACUAUGUGCGACACCAUGCAAAUACAGGAGAGGCUCUAUUCGUGUGGACAGAGAAUUCUCUGUAUUUGUAGUGGGUCUGUUAUUCCUUGGGUCAAGUUUUUUUAAAAAAAAUUGGGCAUUUUUUGCUGAUCCAUUGGCUUCGAAUUGGCCUUCUUUUCAAAUGGCUUUAUAAUAAGGGACCCUGGGACGUGACAUAGCCACUUUUUGGCGUUGGUCGACUCACAAGCCUCUUUAUGUGAAGUUGGCUCAUCUUCCUCCGCCAAAGCAAUAUAUGCGCUAAUAUGGUUAGCAGAAGGAGUAAAUGAAGUAGUAUAGUCAUCAUACCUCGCAGGAGAUCUAAUGACCCCCCUAGGACACCUGGAAUAUGCUGGUGGCUCCACCGGUGAAUUUGUUUUCUCAGAUGAUUGCGUAGACUCCAAGUUUGAUUCAUUAUCAACCUCCUCGUCGUCCUCUUGUACUUGCUUAGCUUGCACCUCAUUGCGUGCUUCAAAGAGCUCAAUUGGAAUCAUAGCCUCAUUAUCUUGCUUUUUCUUGGUGCCUUGAAAAGACCCUAAAGACCCUUCAUUGAUGACAACGUCACGGGUUACAAUAAUCUUGUGGGUAGUAGGGUCCCGCAAUCGAUACCCCUUAACACCUUUCGCAUAGCCAAGAAAUAUGCACCUCCGAGAGUUCUUGUCUAAUUUUGAUCUCUUCUCCUUCAGUAUCCAUGCAUAAGUGUCAAAUCCAAAGACACGAAGAUAGGAGUAUUCAAUGGGCUUGCCACUCCAGACUUCUUUAGGAAUUUCUAAACCAAGUGAUUUUGUCGGCGCUCGGUUGAUCAAGUAACCAGCCGUGCUCACGGCUUUCGUUGAAAAUCUCUUGUCAAGUUUUGAAAUACUGAACAUGCUCCGAGCCCUCUCCAUGAGUGUUCUAUUUAACCUCUCUGCUACACUGUUUUGCUGCAGUGUACUGGGUACUGUGAGGUGCCACUUAAUUCCAUGUUCACUACAAACUCAUCAAAUUCUCUUGAACAAUACGAUCCCCUCCGCUAUCGAAAUGUAGGCACUUAAUUUUUAAACCAUUUUCAUUCUCCAUGAGAACUUUAAACUUUUAAAAAGUUUCAAACACGUCGCACUUCCACUUUAUGAUAAACACCCAAGCCUUUCGAGAAUAAUCAUUAGUAAAGGAAACAAAAUAAGAACACCUACCCAACAAAAUGUCGGGCAACUCCUAAGUAUCCAAAUGAAUCAACUCGAGAUGUGACUUACUUCUCUGAUGUGAUAGAGAGAAUGAUAACCUCUGUUGCUUCCCGUAGAUGCAAUCUUCACAAAAAUCUAAUGGCACGAACUUAACCUAGAAGAAGUUCACAAUUAGAUAAUACCUACAAUCCGCGCUCGCUCAUGUGUCCCAAACGGCGAUGCCACACCAUCGGAGACUCCAAUUUCGUACUUGCAACAACGCUUCUCCCACUUGAGUCUUGCCUACCAAUCUAUAUAGGCCACCUAUUUGCUCUCCCUUCAUCAACACCAAAUAUCCUUGACAUACUUUCAAAUGAUCCUUCUCGUCGGCGGAACUAAACCCUUAUUUGCAAAACAUUCCAAGUGAUAGAAGACUUUUCCAAAGCGCAGGAACAUGCCGAACAUUAGGAACCGUCCGAACAACACCAUCAAACAUCUUGAUUCGAACGUCUCCCACUCCAACCACUGGACAUGCCGUGUUGUCACCCAAAUAGAUAACUCCACCAUCCCAUGGUUUAUAAGUAUAAAACUACUCCCUACAGGGAGUCAUGUGGAACGAUGCUCCUAAAUUCAAGAUCCAAUGAUAAAAAAGAUAGGAUCUAUCCAAAUACGGACAAUGCAUUUCCGUCCUCCGAACUAGCCGACUUAGCAUCCGCUUUGGUUAUAUUACCGUGGAAGUUGCUUGAAUCAGAUUUACUAUCAACUCCUUUAACCAGGCAAUUCUUCUUCACGUGCCCCAACUUUUCACAAUUCCAGCACUUUACUUUUCUUUUGCCCUUGGACUUUGAUCUCUAUCUCUCUCAAUCACCACGCUCCCUCUCGAAGGGUCUUUCCCGUGCUAUCAUAGCCUCCCCUGAAGAGCUUCCAUAGCUAGACUUUUGUCUCAUCUCCUCGGUAAGCAAUGAUACAACAAUCGACUCCAUUUUAAGGGUUUCAACAUGGCUCAAGUUCAUAAUCAAAUUAAUCCAAGAUUUCGGCAUAGAACAAAGUAAAAUACUUGCCUUUUCUUCUUCACCAAGUCUCACAUCUAGGGUCGCAUGCUUGCUCACAAUGGAGUUGAAUGAACAUAGAUGCUCUUGUAUCGGUGCCCCGUCUUUCAUCUUUAGAUUGUACAAUUGCCGUCUCAAGAAAAUUUUAUUCACCAAUGACUUCCCUUCAUAAAGAUUCUUCAAUUUAUCCCAAAUUCCUUUUGCUGUAAUCUUGGUUUCCAUAGUGAAUAACACCGAAUCAUGAAGUGCCAAAUAUAGAUUUGCUAAACCCAUCUUCUCUUUCUCUUCAAAUAGCUUAUUCGCCAUUCCUUCCGCCUUUUUCUCCUUUCCUUACAAGGCGAUCUCACAAGCAAUUUUAAUCAAGACUGCUUGCAUAUUAAGUUUCCACAACGAAAAAUUCAUUCCAUCAAACCCAGGAACCUUAUAUUUUAUCGCUGUAACUUUCCUAACCAUCACUUCACCAUCAAUGAACUACAGAGACCAAACACUCUGAUACCAAUUGAAAGGAUCGGCCGUGGGGUUACCAAGCACACCUCAAACCCACACAGCACACGAGCACAGCGGAAACAGGAUCUUUCAUAGAUGUAAGAGACGAGAUCAUAGGAAAGAUAAGCACGAGAAAAACAAAGCAAUAAAGAAAAUAAGAGAUCACAAGAAUAUAAGAUUUACGUGGUUCAGUCAACUAUGAGUCGACCUACGUCCAUGGGCAAGACCACCUCAACACUUUCUUCAAUUAAUCCACGGCACAAAAAUACAAAGGAAUAGAUUGGAUUACAAAAAACUCUCUUAGAAGCUCUCCACGUUAUUUCGCUCAAUUAGAGUGUCUAUAAUGAAGCUUAUACGAGAAACCUCAAACAACGAGGCUCGAAAUCUAAAAGAUUAAUUAUAAGAGUUUAUAUAACUCUAAAAUCUCUAUUCUAGUAGGAAAUGAUCGUUGUCUUCCACCCGAGUCCAAUUCACAUCUGGCAGUCGAUAUCCUCUUAGAAAUCCUCUUUAAAGUGAUUCUACACAAUCUCUAAUCUUAUGGAACAAGGUUAGAUCUAAUUAGAAUCAAACUCUACAUAUUGACUCGAAACAUGGCUUUACAUAAUCCAACAGCUACAAAUCUAUUAAGAGGAAUUGUUUAGGUAGUAAAAGAAAGACAAAAUAAGUUUCCAAGAUAAAAUCUAUCAAAUUUUUUUUCCUUGUCAAAACAGAUCGAAUUGCUAGCUUUGUUCCUUUCAACUGGUGCUUUUUAAUGACAUUGCUAGCUUUCAUCUACAAUUAUAAGUUUACUAUUUAUAGCGUAGAGCUUGGUUAAAAAAAAAAAUAGUAUAGUUGUCUUUCAGAAAAAUAGUACAGUAUUCAAAAUAAAAGGGCCUCAAAUAAAGUAUGGUAUUGUGCAGUAUGGUUUUUUUUUUUUUUUUNUUUUUUUUUUUUUUUUUUUUUUUUUUUGAGAAAAGGGUAGCAUGCUACCCGCUUCAUUUAUUAUACAUUGUUAUGCAUUUUUCUAUAUGUAUGUGUAAAGAGAAAUCCUAGAUGCCUCAUAGGUAAACUUUGAAAUUUUUGUCAUUAUUGGUCAAUAAGCUUACAACAUAUGAUGGUCGGACGCUAGAGGGAAGCACAUCAAUAUGUAAAUAAAAAAAAUAUUUUGACAUGAAAUAAUUUCGCCGCCCAUCUACGGUAGAUGCAUCCAAGCGAAAGAAAUUCACAAUACAGAAUAAUCUCAUAAUACAUAUUUGGCUGAAUGCAUUCGAACCGUUGAAAUCAAACAGCCAAAAUGCAUGAUAUCCUAUAGAUGGAACUCCAUGCCCAUUAUUACUUAGAACGUAUAUUGUUCAUACAAAAAAAGAAAAUAUAAAGAAACCUUGAGGCAUUCUUUAUUAUUCUUGCCUUUUUUUCAAUGUUUUUCUAAUUAAAAAUUUAUAGCUAGAUGCUUCAUAAGUAAAGAAAUUUUAUUAUACGUUUUCUAUAUCUAUAUGUAAAGAGAAAUUUUAUAUAUGUAAUAACCCGAACUUCUCUAAUUAUGAAAUUUUGGUGGGAACCAGUUUAAAAAGCUAUUAAAUAAGUUCCAGCGAAGUUUGGAGAGCAUUUAAGUGUUUUCAGAGCAAACUAGACUCGAAAACGAGCUCCAAAAGCUGAAAUCUGCCUAAGUUGCAGAAUUUGUAUUGGAUAUCGGUACUAGAAAACUAGGUACCGGUACGCAGUGUAAAAUUGAGAAUAUGAGCUCUCGGGUUUUGAGGUACUGGAACGGGGUACCGGUACUGGACUGGCCGGGUACCGGUACGCGAACCCGAGUACCGGUACGCAGCCUCCCAGAACGCUGUUUUUGAGGGGUAAAAGUGUAAUUUCAUUAUGGGCUUAUAUAAGGGGGUGCCCACCCCUUCCCCUCAGCCCAGAACACACAUGCACACAUGCAGAGAGAGAGAGAAGAGGAGUUCAUCUCUCUCCCUCUCUUCUUCCUCCUCUCCAAAUUGGAGAUCUUGGUGGAGAUCGAGCUCGGGAACGCGUGGGAAGCGGUGGUUCGAGCUCUCGGGCGCUUGGUGGCUCGGUGCGCUUCCAACUUGAGGUUCGUCUUCGGGUCAAGAGGUUAGGGUUUUGCUAAAUCUUUUGGUAUUGGGGUUCUAAGUUUCCCUAGAUGAUUCUAACUAGGUUAAUCAAGAUUUCACCAUGAGUUUUGGGGCUUCUUGUGGAAAUUGGAAACCUCAGGUUAGAAUUGGGGAUUUUAGGGUUUGAGCUAGGGUUUUAGAUUUAAACCUUCUAGAUGGAUUUCUAGCAAACCCAAAGCUAAUCUAAGCUACAAAUGGUAGAGAUUAGCAAGUGGAUUAGAGUUUUACCGUAAAAUUUGGAAAACCCUAGGUUAAAAAGAGGGAUUUCUUGGUAAAGGGUUCUAACACUAUUUUAACCCUUUGUGUCAUGCCCCGCUAUCGCCAACUUGAUCGAUUCGAGCCCGUACACAGACGCCGAACGGACAGCAUCUCCCCUGUCCGGCCAAGGCUGAACAACAACGAGUACAUGUAUAAAGAAAGAAACAAUUCCCAGGAUAACAUUUCAAUAUACAUGGCUUGCACGAGGGCAAGCAACAAGAACAAGUGAAUGUAACUAACUAAACAUGAAUUCACUGUGUUUCUUAAAAGAAAUUUAAACCAAAAUAUAAAACUAGAUAACUACUACAUUUAGUUAUUUACAACAUUUACAGGCUCAUCUAUACAUCAUUUUUACAUGUUUCUAUUUCAUCAAAUAUAUACAACAUGAAACCAAAAUGGGUGUACAACUAUACUUUGGAGUCCACUAGCUAGGAUGCUGGGCUCUUGCCACGAUCCUCGACUGCUCUUCUCGCGCUAAGAUCUGCAUGGUUAGUGGUGUGAGAACUACUAAAAGUUUCCAGUGGGUUCGGCCGCCGACCUCGCCGACUCACCCACUAGAUCUAUUCAGGCAUAUGUAGGCAAGAAAAGAGAAUAGAUAGUAACCAGUUAUAACAUGUAACUACUACAAUGUCUGUAUAAAACUGAAAAGAACAAUAUAUAACAUAUGAAAGUUAUGCGUGCAUGCUACUAAUAAUCAUUAUCCAAUCAAUCUGGUUAACCAUUUGGUUAACUAUAGCUCACUAAUCAAAUCCCUUCUUAUCGGGGAGAAUUUUGCUACAACCUGACAGGACCGUCUACUGGGGAGAAUUUCGCUUACCGACCCAGUUGAUGACAACUCCGGAGCUCAUCGCCCAAAGAGGAGCGACCUUCCUCGAGCAUUAGACUAAUAUGAGUAUAAUCUGAUCCUCAUUUAGAGUGUCCAAUGAAUAACAAUGCCACACUUUAAAUUCUAACUAGCUCUUUAUGCUAGUUUUACAAUUCCAAUUUUCGAUGCUAACCUACUUUUCUAAUCAUAAUGUCACCAAAUUUACUAUUGUCAUCUUCCACAGUAAGUUCACAUAUUCAUAGGGUUUUCUAUGUUCAUAAUCUAUUGGCCACAAGUUCUCUACAUUGAACAUAUUCAAUUACUCAAUUCAUAUUCACAUAAUGACAUUUCCCCUAUAAUGCAUGAAUACAAUGCAAUUCAUAUAUAUGUAUACUCAAUAAGGCGACAUAGACAUAAAGAGAGAUUCGAAGAUUUCGGAUAGCACCACCCACCUCGUAGGGAUGCCGAAAUAUUAGAACCAACGUCUCGGAAUUUAUAAGCACCUAGUCCUCGCGACUCGAUGCAAAUGAAGCUAAAACGACGUUUAUCGUAAUUAACGCGUCGUAGAUCCGUCGGAAUGUCAACUUGAGCCUCUGAACAAGUCAAACUUUCCUUCAUAGAGGAUUACAAGAAAUCAAACUCAAGCUAUGACAUCAAUCCCACAACUCGCAUACCUAACCCAAUUUACAUACAUAUUGCCAAUAUAGCAUAGUUCUUCUCUAGGUUUCCUUUGCUAAUAACUUAGAAUUACAAGCCAAACCUUUGCUCUUGGUUAAUUACAAGGAUUCCUAACCAGGAAUUUCAAAUAACCUACUCAGGUUAUUUACUACAUGGAUAUACACAUACACAAUAUAUAUAUCACUUGUUCUCUAGGUUCUCAUAGCACUUAGAAGUUUUAGCAGUCAAGAUCUAUAACCCAAAUCUAAUUAGAAUGUAAUUAUACAACCUUCAAACCAGGAAUUACAUAGCCUCUCACCAAAUUUUAUCUCUAAUCCAGUAAUUACACACAUGCUGCCCAUAAUACAGCUUUCUUAAGCUUUCUAUAUGCUUUAACUAUCGUGGAACUCUAGCUAGAUUCCCUUAAAGGCAAGUGACUCAACUCUAACAAGGAUUUGAUCAAACUUACCUUACUUUGAUGCUCCACCAGGUUGCUCGCAGCUUUUUAAACCUUUCUUUCAGCUCCAACAGCAAGAAAUCCACUUCAAAAAUCUACUCCCCCAACCUCUCUUUCACAACCACUACCUAGGGUUUAUAGAGAAGGAGAGAAGGAAAGAAAUGAAAAGAAGGAAGAGAGAGAGUGUACUGGAUACGUUUGCAGCUGCUAGGGACCUGGGAUUAAGAGAUAAGACCGAAAAAUUGCAACUUAACCCCUCUAACGACCAAAAGUGCAUUGCAGUUCAGCUGUUUACACUUUAGUCCCUGUAGGUUUUCUGCACUAAUAGCAACAACAUCAACAGUAAUUAGUCCUACAUCCUCUACAAAAACUGAAAUUGCUGUUUACAAUUUGGUCCCUGCAGUUUACUGCACUUGACGGCAGCUGAAAUUACUGUUUAUGAAUAGGUCCCUGCAGUUUUAGUGCAGAAUCUGCACUAGGCAGCAGCAGUAGUAGCAGCAGCAGCUGCCAGCAGUAGCAGCAGCAGCAGCUACUACAAUCAGCAGUAGCAGCAGUUGCAAUCAGCAGUAGCAGCAGUAUUCAGUAGCUAUUGUACUUAAACCCCCCAAAAAAUAGAAAUUCUUCUUUACAAAACAGUCCCUACAACUUUUACAAAACAGUCCUUGCAGCUUUUUAGUACAAAAUCUGCAUUGGCAACACUUGUUUCCAAGGUGAUUUCGCACUUCCACUUUAUUCUGAACCCCUUUAAACCCUUCUAACUUGUAAUUAGCUACCCUCACACGACCAAUUUAGCUCGGGGACUAACUAAUUUAUAUUCUUGCAUUACUUUGAUCACUUUGAUCAAAGUUAGCCUUUUAGUUGGAGAUUCGAUACAUUGCAAUCUUUCCCCUUUAAUUUAGUUUCGUCGACGAAACUUAAACACAUAUCUUAGUUCUCCUGAUCGAGUAGGUGAGGAUAGGACUCGUGCAUAGGUUCUUCCAAUUCCCACGUGGCCUCACGCCCAAGUGAUUGCUCUAUUGCACUUUCACAUAGGGAAUAGUGCAAUUUCGCAAUUCCUUCACUUCGCAAUCUAGAAUGCAUACCGGGUGCUCUUCAUAUGUCAUAUCCUCUAGUAAGUCCACUGGCUCAUACUCCAGAACAUGCCUAGAAUGAUGUACAUACUUGCGAAGGUUCGAAACAUAAAAUACAUUGUGUAUUCCCUCGAACUUCGGCGGUAAAGCCAAUCUAUAAGCCACCGCUCCUACUCACUCCACGAUCUUAUAGGGUCCGAUGUAUCGAGGACUAAGCUUUCCUCGAAUACCAAAUCUCUUUAUUCCGCGCAUCGGUGACACCUUUAAGAAGACACUAUCACCAAUCGUAAACUCCAAAUUCUUUCUGCUUUUAUUAGCAUAACUUUGCUGCCGUGAUUGUGUCGUUGACAACCUUUGGCGGACUAGGCGUACCUUCUCCUCCGCUUCUUGAAGCACAUCAGGACCAAGAACAAUCCUUUCUCCUACCUCACCUCAAUGAAUAGGGGAUUGGCAUUUCCUCUCGUAGAGGGCUUCAAACGGUGCCAUUGCAAUACUUUCCUGGUAACUGUUAUUAUAGGCAAAUUCAGACAUCGCUAAGAAAUCAUGCCAACCACCCAUGAAGUCAAGUACACAUGCCCGUAGCAUAUCCUCCAAAAUCUGAAUCAUCCUCUCCGACUGUCAAUCAGUCUGAGGAUGAAACGCCGUACUAAAAUUGAGCCAUGUGCCAAGAGCAUCCUGUAAACUCCUCCAAAAAUAAGAUGUGAACCGUGGGUCUCGAUCAGAUACAAUCGACGUCGGAACCCCGUAUAACCUCACAAUUUCGUCGAGGUACACCUGUGCUAACUUGUCCCACGACCAAGUAGUAUGAAUCGACAAAAAAUGCGCCGAUUUCGUCAAUCGAUAAACUAUCACCCAAAUAGUGUCAUGUCCGGCCUGUGAUCGAGGUAAUCCAACUAUGAAAUCCCUCGCAAUAUUCUCCCUUUUCCAAAUAGGAGUAGGUAGACUCUGCAACUUUCCCACUGGGAAUUAGCGUUUAGCUUUAACUUGCUGACAGGUCAGACACUGCGCCACAAACUGUCCAAUGUCCCUCUUCAUCCCAGGCAACCAAUAAUGUACUUUAAGAUCCUUGUACAGUUUAGUGCCACCUGGAUUUACACUAUAAGGCGAUUGAUGAGCUUCCUGCAAUAUAGCCCUCUGAAUCUCCUCGUCUUUGGGUAUGCGCCAACGGUUUCGAAACCGAAGUGCACCGUCAGAUCCCAUUGUAAAAUCAUCACCACGCCCGCUCUCAACCUCACACCACACCUUUUGGAGAUAUGGAUCUAAAGAUUGUCGAUCUUUAAUUCUUUCCAACAAAGUCGGUUGAACAACUAGAGUGGCGAGAAUAGCUGGCAUCUCUGGAGCUACAACCUCAAGAUCAAACCGCCGUAUUUUAUUCCACAACGACGGUUGAUGUGUAAUCGCCAUGGCCAAGUUCUCCACAGACUUUCUACUCAGCGCAUCUGCCACGACAUUAGCCUUUCCUGGGUGGUAUAGAAUAGUAACAUCAUAAUCCUUUAACAAUUCUAACGACCAGCGUUGUCGCAUAUUCAGCUCUUUUUGGAUGAACAAAUACUUAAGGCUUUUAUGAUCAGUAUAGAUCUCACAAUGCUCGCCAUAGAGGUAAUGUCUCUACAACUUCAAUGCAACGACGACCGCAGCCAACUCUAAAUCGUGUAUCGGAUAGUUCUUUUCAUAACUCUUCAACUGGCGAGAUGCAUAAGUGAUAACCCGACCACCCUGCAUAAGCACACACCCAAGUCCAUUGUAGGAAGCAUCACUAUAGAUCACAAAACUUUCCCCCGAAAUCGGCAAGGUGAGAAUAGGAGUUGAAGUCAAUCUUUCUUUCAACUCCCGAAAACUACGAUUACAUUCUUCACUCCAAACAUACCGGGCUCCUUUGUGCGUAAGGCGUGUUAGUGGAGUAGUAAUCUUAGCAAACCCCUCCACGAACCGCCGAUAAUACCCCACAAGUCCAAGAAAAUUACGGAUCUCAGCUACACUCGUCGGACGAGGCCAAUCUUUAAUCGCCUCUACUUUCUUUGGGUCAACUGAUAUGCCACCCUCAGAAAUCACAUGCCCAAAAAUGCGACCUCUCGCAGCCAGAAGUCACACUUCUUUAACUUGGCACAACUGUUUCUCUCGCAGAAUUUGUAUCACCGUUCUCAAAUGUUCAUCGUGCUCCUCGUUACUUCGAGAAAAGAUCAAUAUGUCGUCUAUAAACACUACGACACACCGAUCCAACAGUGGCUUGAAGAUCCUAUUCAUUAUAUUCAUAAAUGCUGCAGGGGCAUUGGUAAGUCCAAACGGCAUCACCGUAAACUCGUAGUGACCAUAGUAAGUGCGAAACGCUGUUUUGUACACAUCCUCUGGCUUGAUCUUCAUGGUGAUAACUCGAUUGGAGAUCAAUCUUCGAAUAUACCCGCGACCCUUGCAACUAAUCGAACAAAUCAUCAAUUCGGGGCAACGGAUAUUUAUUCUUAAUUGUAACCUUGUUCAGCUCGCGAUAGUCAACGCAAAGCCGAAGCGUUCCGUCCUUCUUCUUUACAAAUAGCACUGGAGCUCACCAAGGUGACACACUAAGCUUCACAAAGCCCUUGUCCGGCAAAUCCUGCAACUGAGCUUUUAAUUCCCUCAACUCAGCCGUGCCAUUCUGUACGGAGCCUUCGAAAUUGGCGUCGUCCCGAGAACCAAGUCAAUGACGAGCUCCAUCUCCCGGUCCAGUGGCAAUCCCGGCAACUCCUCCCGGCAACUCCGUAGAAAAUACAUCUGGAAACUCUCGAACUACUGAAAUAUCCCCAAGUGCCAGAAGUUCCUUUUGAUUCUCCACAACUGUCGCCAGAUAAGCUAUGCAUCCUCUAUUAAUCAACUUCCUCGCUCUCGACAUCGACACCGUCAAAGCAAAGAGCAAACUCUUACACGCCCGAUACACAACCUCCUUUUGCGCAGACACGAAAGGUGAUCACUUUACUUUCACAACCAAUCGUAGCGUAGUACUUUGAAAGCCAAUCCAUUCCAAGGGUUAAAUCAAAGCUUUUCAUACGGCUCAGCACUAGCAAAUCUGCUGGCAUAAUCCAAUCACCAACUUGUACUGGACAAGCCGUACACUCCUCGUGGACACUAAAAGUGUGCUCAGGAGCAUAAACCCACCAGGCAUCCGCACUAUCCGAAAUCUCGAUAUCAUGAGUUUUAGGAAAUGAUCUACUAAUAAACGAGUUCGAUGCACCUGUAUCAAACAAUGCACGAAAUCUAGUGCCUUUAAUUAAAACAAUACCUGCUACGACAUCGUCGACCACUGCAGGCUCCUAUGCCUGGGGAGCAAAAACACGACCACUCGGUGCAGGUCGGGAUCCCUCGGACUAACGCAGCACAGAUGAACGUCCAGUAGACAUAGCGGGUGGAAGACCCACACGUUGUCUCGGGGUCGACUGAACCGACACGGCUGACGGGGCAGACGAUGCUCCACUCGGGCAUUCCCGACUCAAGUGUCCUGGCUGGCCACACCUAUAGCAUCUCCCCUCACGCUGCGAACAACUCGUUGGUCGAUGAUUCCUGCCACAAAUAACACAUAUAGUGGGUCCCUGAUACCUCGACUGCGAUCGUGGAUACCGAGGGGGCCAUUUAGAACUCGACUGUCCUACGGCACCAGUGGUGGUCCGUUUCUUUCCUUUUUCCCUUUCCUUUUUCCUUUCAAACGAUUCUCGUUCAUCACGUGCAAUUGCAUUUCCUCGCUCCACCCAGAAAGCACGAUCCAAAACUUCUUCAAAAGUCUUUAACUUAAAAGCAUGUAUCACCUUGAAUAUCUCGGGUCACAACCCCCGUCAAAACAUUCAGCCCAGUCACGAUCCUCGUGAAUCAUACCCGGUACACAGUUCACCAGAUGUGAAAACUCCCGUUCAUACUCCCGUACCGAACAGUUUCCCUGUCUCAACUUGCAAAAAUCUUCUUUCAGUUUUCUUUUAUCACUAUCAAGAAAGUAUUCCAUAAACAAUAACUCACGAAACUCAUCCCAAGUAAUUGGAGGAAGAUUUGGAGACCGAUUUUUCUUAACCCUUCUCCACCAAACCUGAGCUGCCUUCUCAAAAUAGUGCGCGGCUAAAUGAACAUUGUCUGUAAUAUACCGAACUUCUAAUUCAUGAAGUUACGAUGUAUGUUAGCUUAGAAAGCCAUUGGAAUCGUUCCGGCGAAGUUCGGGAGCAUUCGGGUGCUUUGGUGCGCAUAGGGCGCGAGAACGGGACCCGAAAGGCUAUGUUGGACCGUGGACUAAAUCCGGCAUUAGCGUGGAUGAAAAGAUGAUGAAAACAUGUUUGAAAACAUGUUUGGAGAGUCUCGGUUCGAUUUGAAAAGAAACGGAGGUCAAACGAGUGAAAACGAGCGAAAACGGAGUGAAAAAGGAUAAAGGCUGAAAAUGCUGAAAAAUUGGCUAAGUCUGGAAUUCUGGCCUUUCGGGGACCGGUCUCUCACCGCAAGGACCGGUCCCAGAACCCCGAAAAUGCCCAGUUUGGGCUUUUGCGAGGGAAGCAUUGUGGAGGGGCUUAAGUGUAAAAUGGCACUUAUGAGAGUGUAUAGAGGGGAUCCUUUCUCCCUUUCUCUCAUUUCUCUCACUCUCCCACACCAAAAUUGUAAUAUACCGAAAAUUCGGAAAAUAAAAGUGCCGAACUUUAGUCAAAUUGACCAAAGUGCGAGGAUGGUACACUUCGAAAAGUCCGAAGGUGUUAAAAUGAUCAAAAGUGAGUUGUGGAAGGUUUUCGAGAGCUAAAGAAUCAAAUUCUGCUAAACUGCAGAUUUUCAGCUCUCGGGGACCGGUCCCUGGUGGGAGAGACCGGUCCCCGAACGCGUAUGAAAUGAGACAGCCGAAAAAUCGGCAAAGUCCUGAGAAAGUAGCUCUCGGGAACCGGUCUCUGCCUGAGAGACCGGUCCCCCAGAGACCGGUCCCAUCGUAGGGAGACCGGUCGCAUCGCGCGCAGCGACUCUGGCUGCGCAGGGUGGACGUUCGGGAACCGGUCCCUGCUCGGGGAGACCGGUCUCUUGCCCGCGAAAACUGCCCAGUCCAGGCAGUGUCAGAGUAAAGUUGAGGGCGUUUAUUAGCAUUUUUGCAAACCCUUGAGCUAUGUUAGUGGGUCGAGGGUUUUCCCCUCUCAUUUCCAUCUCCUCAUACACUCUCUCCUCUCUUUCUCUCUCUAGAAACAAAGAAGGAGAAGAAGAAGAAAAGGAAUGAAAGGAGGAAAAGAGAAGAAGAGGUGAGAAGAAGAUUAGAGUAGCAAGCUUACCUCUAUCCUCUUCCUCCUUUGGAGCAACCUUGGGAAAGCCUUUGAGUAGGCUUUUGAUACCAAUGCUAGUAAACCCUAGAAUGGGUUUGAAAUGAAGGUAGAAGAUGGUAGUUUUAAUGGAAUAUCUAGUAGUUUUUAAGGCUUUCUUUUUGAUUCUAAGAGAUCAAACCUUGGUUUGGCUUUAGAGGUGAGCCUUGGACCUCCUCAUGGUGAAAUCCAAACUAGAUUUUGAAGCUAAGAAUGGUUCUAAUGAACUACUAGAGUAUAAUGAAGCUACUUUUGUUCCAUGAGAUCAACCCUCGUUUGACAUGUGUAUGGAGCUAGGGCCACCAAAUGGGCCUUUGUGCUCAUAGGUUUUCUAAGUGCAAUUGACCCUCUAAAAGAUCUAAUUGGGGGUUUUCCGACGGCGUUGUUGUGGCGUCGAUUAACGUAGCGAAGUCAUAAGAUAAGUUAUGAGCGCAAAAUGGCGCUAAUAAGGGGUUCGUUUUGCACCAGUAAUUAGAACGAAGGGAUCUAAAAAUACCGAGGAAAUCAGUCGGAAGCACCUUUGAAAGCUACGAGGUCGGGUGGUGAUUCUCAAAACUCAUUGAACUUCUCUCUAUGCCUAAUGUGUCAUUCAUUUGAGCAUGGUAAUAUAUUGGUUGCAUGCAUAUUAGGGUAAAGUGAUUGAUAGAGAUGUGAUGAUAGCAUGAUUGUGAGUACAACAUUGCUUAUAAUGAUGGUAGAGCCAAGGAUAAAAUGUCAAAACCCUAAGUGGUAUGCUUAGAGAAAGUGAACACACCAAAGUAUGAGCAAAGAAUAGUAGUGACACUAUGACACUAGAUUCGAAGUGCCAUUUGAAAAUGUAAGUAAAGAGGACACUAAGUUAGUGUGAUGCAAAGAAACCAAUGUAAUGUAAAGAAUGAUUGAAAAUGACAAUGUUUAAAGUUAAAGUAAUUGGGGGAAUAAAGACACACAGUGCUAGAGGUAGCCAAAAGUAAAGAAUGUAAGAAUAUAAUUGUAGAGUUAGCCAAAAGUAAAAGAAAUGUAAAGAAAUGUGAUUGCAUGAGUUUGCAACAUAAAGUGAUGUAAAGAGACACUAGAGCUAGUGUAAAGUCAAGAUUGAACUAUAAAAUCCUUUGAGUUAAGGAUAGAUCAUAAUUGCUAUGAGUUCCGUGCUCGAGGAUUCGGUCGCUCCCUCGGGCGAUGCGGCUCCGGAGUUAUGCAUCUGGGUUGGAGUAAACCGUAAGGACGGUCUUAGCUGGUGAGUUCCUGCGAUGAUGGACUUAAUGUGAAGCAAGUUAAUGUGGCGAAACCCGGCUAGCCUUAAUGAUAAAGGCAAAGAGUAAAGAACAAAAGAGCAAAGAACAAAGUGUAUAAGUGCAAAGAAUAAAGAACAUGCAUAACCUGCAUUUAUUAAUGUUAGCAUAAUUCUUGCUAUUUGUUCAGGCAUAUUAGCAUCAUUUUACUAGAUUGGUUACUAUAUCUAUACUUAUCUUUCUAUUAUGCCUUAGUUAGUCCUAGUGGAAAGUCGGUGAUGUUGAGGCCGAACCCACUGGGAACUUUGUUGUAGUUCUCAUCCUACUAUUUCCACAGAGCCGGGACGAGCGAGCCGGCGAGCGACGAGUAAGGUAUCGCGCCUUAGUCAGAGGCCACCAAUGUUGGAUUUCAUUUUGUAGUAAAGUACCUUAUGAUCAUCUUUUGUAUUUGAUGAUUUAGUGAUGUAAAGAAAGAAUGUAAAGCUUAUUUUGAGGUAAUGUAAUGUAAGAAGAAAUGAUGAAAUGAUGUAAUGAAUGUAAGAAUUCGAUAAUUACUAGAUGGAUGCAAUGUAUAUGCAUUAAAAUGAAUACAUAUUACUUUGUUGAAUGUUUAGUUUCCUUUUUCUUUCAUAAUGGCUAUUGCUUACCUCGUGUAAGCCGUUUGUGUAUGUUUCCGCUAGUGCUUUUCUCUAUUGAUGAAAUUGUACUAUGUGAUGACCUUGGGCAGAUAGGGAAAACUCUGUCCGUUCGGCGCUGUUUGACGUGCUCGGGUCGGGCCAAAUUCGGCAUCGAUUCCCGGGGCGUGACAAAAUCUCUCCUUCUCUCUCUAGAAAGAAAAGAGGAGAAGAAGAGGGGAAAGAAAGGGAAGAAGAAGAUGAAGGAGAUGAAGGCAAAGAAGAUGGAGCUUAUCUCAUCUCCUUCCUUGAGCCAUGUGAGCAAGCUUCUUGAGAUAAGCUUCUUGGAGCUUUAAUGGUAGAUCUUAAGGGUAUAAUUUUUAUACUCUAAAGAUGAUUUUAAUGAAAUCUUAGCAUGCUAAAUAGAUGGUUAUAGUUGAUUCAUGAGAUGAGAUGGGGCAUUUGCAUAAAUCGCAUCUAGAGCUCCAAAAAGGGGUUUUUGUAAAUAGGUUGAGUUUGAUCUCAAUUGACCCUAUACAAACCUAAUUGGGGUAUAACGAACGCGUUGGUGCGCGCUCGUUCGACAAUCCGACGAGCGUACCGCGAAGUUAUUGACAAACAAUCUGUUUCUGGUACAGAUAGCGCGCAGCGCGGGAUAAGCCUCCAAAAAUUAUGAAAAUGGAUCGGGAGCAUCGUGGUGUCGGGGAAUAAACUCCCGAACAGACGGAUCGGCGGAUUGGUGGCCGUUCGGGUGGUCGCGCAAGAGUUCGAGCCGAACCGGUCACGGGUGCCGCGGAGGGAUUGCAAGUGACGACAAGCAAUCGGAACGCGUUAAGAGGUGGGUUGUGUUUACCGAAGCGACUAGGUCGCCUUCAUGCAAAGUGUAGUAGUGUGUUUCACUAUUGAUGCAUGAUAAGAAUGUUAAGUAAGAAUGCAUGAUAAGAAUGCUAAAGUAAGAAUGCACCAUAAUGAUACUAAUAAAUGCAUAUAAUGCAUGAUAAAGAUGAUAAGAAAUGUAUGCAUGUGAAUAUGCUAAUGAAUGCUAGAGCUAAAUGCUAAAUGAAUAUGUAAGACAUAUGUUAGAUAAAUGCAUGAGUUAAAUGCCAAGUAACAUGAGUAGAUGCAUGUUUUGAAAUGGAUGCAUGAGAAAAUGCUUAAAAGAAUGUGUAAUGACAUAUGUAAGAAUGCUAAGUGAAUUCAUAUUGAUAUGAAAUAGAAUGCUAAAGUAUACAUGAUAAGCAUGGAUGCGGUUAAUGCUAAGAAUGUAGAUGAUGACAUGGUAAAAAGGCUAAGUACAGGUAUGAUAAGCACGAUAUAGGGAUGCUAAUGUGAGAAAUGCUAUGUAAAGGACAUAUGUAUACAUAUAGAUCGAGUGGCAUUGAACCUAGAGUCGUGAACCUAGGUUUUAAACAAGAGUGAUAUUUGAACCUAGUGUCAUUGAAACAUUGGUUAUUCACGAGUGGCAUGUCAAGGUUAAUUCCUAGUGUGUGGACAACUAGGAAAACAAGAACAUGAGUGGUAUUGAACCAGAGUCAGAUAAACCUAGGUUUGUAAAUGUAAUGAUAUAGAACUAGAGUCAGUGAACUUAGGUGAUAAAGAAUGUUGGACCUAGCGUCAAUGAACCUAGGCUAAGAAGAUAAUGACGUUGAACCUAAUGUAAUUAACAUAGGUUGAGUAAAGGCUGGACCUAGUUAGGUCGAUAACAUAGGGGGGAGACCAACCUUGAGUAAUGUAAAGUGGAUUCCGGAAUCCUGCUGCUAGUGCAGCAGGCUGCUAGUGCAGGCAUAAACUCGAUAGUUCUGGCCGCGGGUGAUGUGGCGUGCUUCCUCUCCCACCGGAGAACUUCGAGGCUUGUCAAUGACAAGAACAUGAGCGCUAGGUGAUGUGGCAUGUUCGUCUCCUAUCGGAGAUCUCGGCUGCGGGUGUAUGCGCAGUUCCUCUCCUACCGGGGGGAUCCCUGACCACGGAGUGUACGCCAGCUCUGGGACCCGUUGGGCGAUGUGUUUGUGAUGAAGGCUGAGGUGUAUGUGAGAGUCCUUCACCUCGAGCCGGACAGAGCGCGGACUAUCCGCCAGUUGAUUGACUCAAGACCAAGUGGGAUGGCAAAGUUGGCUAAGGCAAAGAAACCUUAGGAAGAAAGGCUAAUGUGUGUUAAUAUUACUAAGGUGUGAGUUACCCUUAGUUAAGCGCGUAAAGAAUAAAGAAGGAAUAAUCAAGAGUAAGAAAAGGCCUAAUGCUAAAGAAUGACAAGUAAUUAAAGAAUAAAGAAGGGUUAAUGCUAAAGAAAUAGCUAGUAAAGUAAAGAAUGAGAAAAGUAAAGAUGGAUAAGAAUAAAUGGUAGAAGCAAUUAAUCUACUAUAUGAGUUGCAUAAUUUGCUAUGCAUGUUGUGAGGCAAAAGCAUGGUAAUGUUAGUUGCAUGAUUUAUAAUUUCAUAUCAUCUAUUGGACUAACAUGUUGUUUGUGCCUCCUUUGACCUGAUGGUCGAGCUCUUCCCUUGGGUGGCCGUACCUACUGGGAACUAUGAAAGUUAGUUUCUCACCCCACAUUAUUUCGGGGUGUUACAGGUUCACACCGUGAGCGCGCGCGGCGCGAGGAAAGGGCGUAGCUCCGUAGUUAGCGCCCUACCACAGAGACCAGAUAGCAACACCCUGAGUCGGCUACUUAGGGAUAUGGAAAAUGAAAGAACAAGAUGUAUCAAACUUGUAGUAAAUUUAUAAUAAUUGGAUUGUACUUGGAAGUUAAGUGAAACCUAAUGUAAGAAUGAAAUGAGAAUUGUGAUGUAAAAAUGUAUGAAUGUGAAUGCUUGUAAUAGCAAGUAGAUUUAUGUUUUUGAUACUUCCUUAUGCAAUCUUUGGUUGAAAUGUGUUCCUGGUUGGAACUUCGUACAUUGUAUUGAUUGCGACGCCUUGAACGUACAGGGGAGACUCUGUUCGCGGUAUAGGGGAAACCCUGUCCGUUCGGCGGUCUGUUGGCGUGCCUGAAUCCGACCAAAGAGGUGGGCUCGGGGCGUGACAUUGUCCUUCUCUAACGUAUAAAUGUCCUCAAAUAAUCCCUCCAUAGAAGUAAGCCACGACUCCAUCACCCAAGGAUCUGCCUUUUCUCCGUCAAACGUAGGAGGCUUGAACCGCAUAAACGCCGUUAAUACCGCAAGCGAUCGCUCAUGCUCGGCCUCUAUCGUAGCUGAAUCAAAAACAGAAGAGCCAGAACCCACCGGAGGAGUAGUCGUCGGAAUAGGGGAUGCUGUCGCCAGUGCCACAGGUUCAGGCACAUCCUGAUCACAGGUGCUGCCGCUGUCGCCUGCUGCGAUACUAGAUCCUACAGCCUCUCCAUUCGCUCAUCCUGCCUCUGCAUUGCCCUAACUAACGCACUCACUUGAGCACGCAGCUCACGAACUUCAUUAGAUCCAGACUGCUCAGGCACCCCAGAAGGUGAUGCCGGAGUGGAUCUCGUCAAACGCCACGGUGCCAUUACUCCUGAAACGUAACAUUCAAGUUAGUAAAAUAAAACCAAUCAGGCGAAAGCAAUCAAGCGUAUUUGUACUCAUCCCUCGGCUUUAUGUUGUUGGCCACCAACAUAACUCCCCAGGUUGUGUACAAAUAAUCACUUGGAUCAGCCCCUAAUUAACAUUAGAAACAUACUAACAACUAACCCAAUUCAUUCAGCUUUCGCUAUCACUAGAUUCACAUCACUCACGUUCCUAGUCCUUAGACUUCCAACCCUAAAGUCCCCUAGGUCCAUCCUAAACUUUCACUUGUCACUUGCUCUGAUACCACUUUAUCUGUCACGUCCCGCUAUCGCCAAUUUGGUCGAUUCGGGCCCGUACACAGACGCCAAACGGACAGCAUCUUCUCUGUCCGCCCAAGGCUCAACAACAACAAGUACAUGUAUAAAGAAAGAAACAAUUUCCAGGAUAACAUUUUAAUAUAGAUGGCUUGCACGAGGGCAAGCAACAAGAACAAGUGAAAGUAACUGACUAAACAUGCAUUCACUGUGUUUCUAAAAAAAAUUUAAAUCAAAAUAUAAAACCAGAUAACUACUACAUUUAGUUAUUUACAACAUUUACAGGCUCAUCUAUACAUCAUUUUUACAUGUUUCUUUUUCAUCAAAUAUAUACAACAUGAAACCAAAAUGGGUGUACAACUAUACUUUGAAGUCCACUAGCUAGGAUGCCGGGCUUUUACCGCGAUUCUCGACCGCUCUGCUCGCGCUAGGAUCUAUAUGGUUAGUGGUGUAAAAACUACUAAAAGUUUCCAGUGGGUUCGGCCGCUGACCUCGCCAACUCACUCACUAGGUAUAUUCAGGCAAAUGUAGGCAAGAAAAGAGAACAGAUAGUAACCAACUAUAACAUGUAACUACUACAAUGCCUGUACAGAGUUGAAAAGAACAAUAUAUAACAUAUGAAAGUUAUGCAUGCAUGCUACUAAUAACCAUUACCCAAUCAAUCUGGUUAACCAUUUGGUUAACUAUAGCUCACUAAUCAAAUCCCUUCUUAUCGGGGAGAAUUCCGCUACAACCCGACAGGACUGUCUACUGGGGAGAAUUUCACUUACCGACCCAGUUGAUGACAACUCCGGAGCUCAUUGCCCAAGGAGGAGCGACCUUCCUCAAGCAUUAGACUAAUGUGACUAUAAUCUGAUCCUCAUUUAGAGGGUCCAAUAAAUAAUAAUCCCACACUUUAAACUCUUAACUAGCUCUUUAUGCUAGUUUUACAAUUCUAAUUUUCAAUGCUAACCAACUCUUCUAAUCAUAAUGUCACCAAAUUUACUAUUGUCAUGGUCCAUAGUAAGUUCACACAUUAAUAGGGUUUUCUAUGUUCAUAAUUUAUUGUCCACAAGUACUCUACAUUGAACAUGCUCAAUUACUCAAUUCAUAUUCACAUAAUGACAUUUCCCCUAUUAUGCAUGAAUACAAUACAAUUCAUAUAUAUGUAUGCUCAAUAAGGCGACAUAGACAUAAAGAGAGAUUCGAAGAUUUCGGAUAGCACCACCCACCUCGUAGGGAUGCUGAAAUACUAGAACCAACGUCUCAGAAUUUAUACGCACCUAAUCCUUGUGACACGAUGCAAACGAAGCUAGAACGACGUUUAUCGUAAUUAACGUGCCGUAGGUCCGUUGGAAUGUCAACUUGAGCCUUCGAUCAAGUCAAACUUUCCUUUAUAGAGGAUUACAAGAAAUCAAACUCAAGCUACGACAUCAAUCCCACAACUCGCAUACCUAACCCAAUUUACAUACAUAUUGCCAAUAUAGCAUAGUUCUUCUCUAGGUUUCCAUGAUAAUUCAGGUGCUAAUAACUUAGAAAUUAUAAGCCAAACCUUUACUCUUGGUUAAUUACAAGGAUUCCUUACCAGGAAUUUCAAAUAACCUACUCAGGUUAUUUACUACAUGCAUAUACACAUACACAAUAUAUAUAUCACUUGUUCUCUAGGUUCUCAUGGCACUUAGAAGUUUUUGCAGUCAAGAUCUAUAACUCAAAUCUGAUUAGAAUGUAAUUAUACAACCUUCAAACCAGGAAUUACAUAGCCUCUCACCAAAUUUUACCUCUAAUCCAAUAAUUUAGCACAUGCUGCCCAUAAUACAGCUUUCUUAAGCUUUCUACAUGCUUUAACUACCAUGGAACUCUAGCUAGAUUCCCUUUAAUGCAAAUAACUCAACUCUAACCAGGAUUUGAUCGAACUUACCUUAAUUUGAUGCUCCACCAGGUUGCUCUCAGCUUUUUAAACCUUCCUUUCAGCUCCAAAAAUAAGAAAUUCACUUCAAAAAUCUACUCCCCCAACCUCUCUUUCACAGCCACUACCUAGGGUUUAGAGAGAAGGAGAGAAGAAAAGAAAUGAAAAGAAGGAAGAGAGAGAGUGUACUGAAUACGUUGGCAGCUGCCAGGGACCUGGGGUUAAGAGAUAAGACCAAAAAAUUGCAACUUAACCCCUCAAAAGACCAAAAGUGCAUUGUAGUCCAACUGUUUACACUUUAGUCCCUGUAGGUUUUCUGCACUAACAGCAGCAACAGCAAUAGUAAUUAGUCCUAAAUCCUCCACAAAAACUGAAAUUAUUGUUUACAAUUUGGUCCCUACAGUUUACUGCACUUGACAGCAGCUGAAAUUGCUAUUUACAAAUAGGUCCCUGCAGUUUUAGUGCAGAAUCUACACUAGGCAGCAGCAGCAGUAGCAGCUGGUAGCCGCAGCAGUAGCAGCAGCAGCUGCAAUCAGCAAUAGCAGUAGCAUUCAGCAGCUAUUGCACUUAAACACCCCAAAAAUAUAGGAUUUUUGCUUUACAAAACAGUCCCUGUAGCUUUUACAAAAUAGUCCCUACAGCUUUUUAAUACAAAAUCUACAUUAGCAACAGUUGUUUCCAAGGUGAUUUCGCACUUCCACUUUGUUCUGAACCCCUUUAAACCCUUCUAAACUUGUAAUUAGCUACCCUCACACGACAAAUUUAGCUCGGGGACUAACUAAUUUAUAUUCUUGCAUUACUUUGAUCACUUUGAUCAAAGUUAGCCUUGUAGUUGGAGAUUCGAUAUUACACUUUGGAACUCUAAUUAAGGGUUAAGAAAUCAUAUGAGGCUAUUUGAUUUCAAGUAGGGAGAUCAUUUAGUGGUUCGAAAAUAGUAACGAAGAAUUUCUUUUAUAGGGCAAGAAAAGCUUGGGAGAAAGCUUGGAAGUUCAAGUAGUUGGCCUAAUUGCAAGUGUCUACAAGCAAUUAGAAAGCUUAAAAUGUGGGUUGUGCUUCACUGAAGUGACUAGGUCGCUUCCAUGCCAAAGUAAAGUAUGAUUUUGUUUAUUGAUGUAUACAUGUAAUGAUAGAUUAAUUGGUUAAAUAAGUAGACAUAAAUUGUAUGCCACUUAGGGUAAAUAAUCUAUCAUUGACUAGAACAUAGGCAUGUGGAACAUAUAGGAUGUAUAUAUAUGUGUAUGCCUAGAUGUGGUUAGUAAACAUAGGUCGAUGAACUCUAGGAUGAUUAGAGAAUUUGACAAGUGUGACACUAAGGACUAGAUGGCAUAAAACUAUGAAUCCUAGAUGUUGACAACUAAAAUAGAAAACAAUUGGUUGGAUAUUAAACCUAGUGUUAUUAAACAUAGGUUGGGCAUUGAACCUAAUGUUAUUAAACAUAGGUUGGACAUUGAACCUAAAGUCGAAUGAACCUAGGUUGGAAAGGGCAUUGGACCUAGUGUUGUAGAACCUAGGUUGUGAACAUAGUGGCAUUGAACCUAGUGUUAUUAAACAUAGGUUGAAAAACAAAGUGGUAGGAUGGCCACAUGGACGUGAGAACAUAAACCUAGAGAGGUUGACUUGAAAAUGGAGGGAUGUGCACAUCCAGUGAGCUUGGUGACCUUAGAAUCAGAGCUUGGGCGUGUGCGACGAAUUUCACCACCGGGCUUGAUGCUAAGGGGGCGUGUGCGACGAUUUCACCGCCGGAGGCUUGAGCCAUUGUUCGGCGUGUGCAACGAUUUCGACGCCAGAUGGCUAAGCCAGGUAAAGGAUUACGCCGCUGUUGACUUGAGCCAUUGUUCGGCGUGUGUGACGAUUUCGCCGCCAGGUGGCUAAGUCAAGUAAAGCAGUGAGCUGUGGAUAAUUGACUCAAGACCGAGUCGGGUGGUAUAGCUUGGCUAAGAUAAAUGAACCUUAGGAGCAAGUGGCAAAUAGUAUGGAUUGUGGAAUGGAAAGUAUAAACAGUAGAUCUACUUAUGUAACAUACCACAUCCCUCGUAAGUCGUGCCGAGUUCCGUCGAAACGAGCGGAACGCGAAAUUGAACGAGUUACAGUGGACCCUAGAUGGAUUUGGAGCUUUGGAGGUUCUAGGAGCUCUCCAACAAGAAAAACCUUGGUGGAGCUUGGACUAGAGGUAUGUUUUGUAAGGUUUUCCUCUAGGGUUUGGAUUUUGGUUAAGAGAUUUGGAGCUUUGUGCUCCUUAGAGGUUUUAGAAGCUCCUUUGAGCCAUGGACACCAUGGAACCCAUGAGAGCUCAAGGUGCUCUCAUGGUGAAUCCUUGGAGAUGAUGUUUGGAGCCCUAGGGUUGGUACCAAAGGUCUAAAAACUUCAUUAGGAUGCUUCUUAGAUGAUCCUAUGCUAUUCUUUGCGUAGGGUUGGGAUCGAUUUAUGGGAAAACCCUAAAUGGCAAGAUUAGGGCUUGAAUUUGGGGUUUUUUGCCCUAGGAUUUUUCGGGGACAAAUUGACCCCGUAGAAACCCAAUUGGGGGUGCCCAAAACACGUCGGACAACUUCGUUUAAUAUUUCGAAAAUGUAAGAGUAUAGUUCGUGUACAAAAUGGCCUAAUAUGGCACUAUUUGAUUAUAGGGCGCGGAAUCGGCUUUCGUAAAGUGCGGAGGCCUUAAUAUUCUACACCCACACGACUUAUAUAGGUGGGGGGUGCACGCCGGAAUCGUUGGAUUCCCCUCUAUGUCUAUUUCUCUAUUUUUGAGCGUAUAUAUAUAUCCAUUCAUGCAUAGUAGGGUAGCUACAUGUGAAACUUGGUUUGAUUUCAUUUUUAUGCUUCUAACGUAGUUGAAUAUAGAGAAUGAUUGAACCUAAACGGACAUGUGUGAUUGGACCCUCGAGAUGUGUGAAUGUAAGUAUGGACUUGACAUUAGAAAACAAGGGUGUCAUUGACAUAGAAACAAGAAUUGCAUUGAGAGAUGACCGUUGAAAAUAGUUUGACCCAUAGUGACAUAGUCGAAGAUAAGGCCUUGAAAGUGGCAAAAAUAAAUAGGUAGAGACCUAUCGUGAUAUUGGCAUUGUGACUAGUGGCUAUGGAUCCUCAAGUUGAGGAUUAGAUCGACACUCACCUUUCGUCUUGGCUUGAGGGAGGUCGCUCCCCCUCGAGCGGUGCGCUCCGGAGUUGGUCACCACUGGGCGUGGUAAAGUCCCACCAGUUGACGGUCCCUAGGGAGGUUCGAGUCCCCCGUUAUUAAGGGAUUUUGGGUUGUGAGUCAUUGGGGUUAACAGAGUUAACCGGCAAGAUUGGGUAAGAGCCAAAGUUUGAUUAUGAUUGGAGCAUGCAUACAUUUCCAUUUUGGUAUUGCAAUUGUUUAUCUACUGACUCUUCCUUGCAGGCAUAGUAUUAGUUGCAUUAGUAAUGGUUACUUUUCUUCCUUUGAAAUACUUAUGCCUGGAUAGACCUAGUGGGUAAGUCGGCGAGGUCGGAUGCCGAGCCCACUGGGAACUUCGUUGUAGUUCUCACACCACUAACCCUACAGGUCCUAGCACGAGCGGGGCGGCGGAGGACCGAGGCAAGGGUUUGGCGCCGUAGGUAGCGGCCACCGGGGACUUUAUGCAUUUUGUAGUCAUUCCCUUUUGUUAUACAUGUAUCAACUUUAUUUUGUUGAUUUAGGUAUGUAAAGUGAAAACAAUCAUGUAUUUGGUGGAUGACUAAAUGUAAAAAGAUAUGAUGGUUGAAUGGAAUGUAAUAGUUUUACAUUAGCUUUGUUUACUUGAAUUUGGUUUAAAUGAAAUCAAAUAUCAUGUGUAAUCUAUAUUUAGCUUAGAGCUUUCGCUUCCGUUGAUGCUUGCCCUCGAGUAAGCCUUGUAUUAUAUAUGCAAUUCUCUUGUUAAUUGCUUAAUUAUAUGUAUUGUUAGAGCCUUGGGCGGACAGGGGAGGCUCUGUCCGUUCGGCGUCUGUCGACGCGACCCGAACCCGACCAAAUUGGCGGGGAUUGGGGCGUGACAACUUACAUGAGUUGCAUUUAUGUUGCAUUAUUGCAUGUUUUGAGGCAUAAGCAUGGAUUUAUUUCUCGCAUAAAAACUAUAUGUUUAAUUGUUGGACUAGCUUGCUUUUGAUGCCUUCUUUGGAUUUGUGGGUCGAGCUUUUCCCUUGGGUGGCCGUACCCACUGGAAACUAUUUUUAUAGUUCUCACCCCACGUUUUUCAGGUCCAUACGUGAGCGGCGCGGCGGCGCGAGGAAAGGCGUAGCUCCGUAGAUAGUGCCCUACCACUAUGACCAGAGAUAGCAGUAUCCCGAGUUGAUCUAGCUUAGGGGUGGAAGUGAAAAGAAAGAACCAAAUUGUAAUAAUUUGUAGUAACUUGAUUGUAUUUGAAAGUUGAAUGUAAUAUGUAAAAAUUGAGAUGAAUGCUUAUAAUAGCUUAGUAUUUAUGUUUUUGAUACCUUCCUUAUGCAAUCUAUAUUUAAAUUCUGUUCCUGGUUGGAACAUAACGAAUUGUAUGGAUUGUGACGCCUAGGACGUACAGGGGAGACUCUGUCCUUUCGGCGGUCUGUCGGUGUGCCCGAAUCUGACCAAAUAGGUGGGUCUCGGGGCGUGACGAUAUAGCUAGAUGCUUUGCACGUAAACUUUGAAAUUUUUGUCAUUAUUGGUCAAUAGGCUCUUGCAAUGUAAGAUGGCCCGCAUGCUAGGAAACACAAUAUGAGUUUAAUCUUAUACGUCAAAAAAAAAUGAUAAUACAAACAUGGAAUAAUCUCGUCGUCCAUCUAUAGUAGAUGCAUUCAAGCGGUAGAAAUUACAGCAUAGAAUAAUCUCAUUAUAGAUAUUUAGCAGAAUGUAUUCGAACUAUCAAAAUCAAACAACUCAAAUAAAUGAUAUCCUGUGUAGAUGGGACUGGCCAUUAUUAUCUAGAAGAUAAAUUGUUCAUACAAAAAAGAAAAUAUAAAAAUCCUUUAGGCACUAUUUAUUAUUCUUGCCUUUUUUUCAAUGCUUUUCUAAAGAAAAUUUUAUAGCUAGAUGCUUGGUAGGUAAAGAAAUUUUAUUAUGCAUUUUUCUAUAUCUAUGUGCAAAUUAAAAGAAAAUUUUGUUGGAAAAACUUUCUGAUCUUUUAUUACAAUAUUCUUUAAAAAUCAAUUCGAAAAUUUAAUUACAGGUUUAGGAAAAUCCUGAAACGAAAUUAAAUAACAAAUACGGUAAAGAAAAGGUUUAGAUAAGGCCUGUGGAUCGAGACGUGCAGAGCACUAUCUUAGAAGCGAAAUUGCCCCUCCACGUGCGAGGCUCCCCGGCAAUUACUCCUCGCGAUACAACGACCACGUUCCACCUCGUCAGCACGCUUCCAAGGUGGCGCAAGACAAACCCAACAAGCUUCAGAUCCAGCAAAAGAAAACUCGGCGAAAAUCCAGAAAGCAGAAAAAGACGAGAGGCUUUAGGUAUGCUCGGGUUAUUAUUUAACUCGUAGAACCUCGCCCUGUAUUUAUAACCUAGGCGAGAAUCUUGCUUCAACGCGUCAAAUCCGUGUAGAACAAGAUAAGCCUAAGAUUAACGGAUAAAGAUCAGGAUUAGGAUAAAGAUAAAUAUAGGGAUUAAAAUAAAGAUAAAACUGAAAAAAUAAAAUAAAAUAAACCGGGUGUAUGAACCACAUGCGCUGCCGCCCGCCCGGCCCGUGCUCGUGCCGUGUGUGUGUGUGUGUGUGUGUGUGUGUGUGUAUUUAAACGAGAGCAUUACUCUCACUUUCUUCCAAGCAACUAGCUUGAGAACAAAGGAAUAUAUACAAACGACAAACACCCUUUUGGUUUCCAAUAUGGGACUAAACAUCACACAUGAAAAUUUUAGUUGGGCUCCCAAGCGGCCCAUUAACAAUUAUUGGGCUCUCAAGAGGCCUUAACAAAUUUUAAAUCAUAACAAACCCAACAAAAUCCAAUAUUCCCCCAUAUGAUUUAAAACUUGAAAUAAAGAAAGCAAAUAAACUGAAAUUCAAAAUAAAUUAAAAGAAUGCUGGAUCUUUUAUACCAUGUAUUCAGUAAAGGUACUUUUCGGGUUUAAACCUUCACUUAGCGCUUGUCAAUGUACAUCCGAGGGCACAAUGGUGGACUACGUCUUGAACCAAGACCGGUGAAUCAGAUUUCCACGAACAGCACAUAUGGUACAGCUGUUUAGGUUCUAAACGAGUGAGCGCUUUUAUGGCCAUGUGCUAGUAUCGCUUAUUGUGUGUUUUAGGAAACCGCCCUCUUCCCAUAGUCACGGCCUCACGACUCCACACAUAUAGUAGGUCCUCAAAGGGUAUCUGCAAGGUCAUACCCUCCCUUAUAGGUUUCAGAGCCAUUCAGGGUCAAUGCCCUUCCUAUCCACUUGCAAACAUGAGCACUGUCGCCAUAGGGAUGAGGAUAUAAAAACAGUGCUUCUCACAGCUAUUUGUUUGACUUGUUUCUACCCAUUGAACCUGCAGCAGGUUGGGUUGCCGUCGCCGGUAACUUCUAUUGUGGGCUAAGCCCCAUCCCCCUUGAUGAUUCUAGGAUCAUUGUCCUAGAUAAUCCCUUCGUAAGCUGAUCCACCAAAUUCUUUGUAGAUUUCACAAAUUACAAUCCAAUCACAUUUUUCUUCAAAUUUUGCCGAAUGAACUUAUGUCUCACUUUCAUGAAUCUAUUCAUCUUCGUCUCCACAUUCUCUUGAGCACACUUAUCUAUAGCAGAUCUGCAAUCACAAUGAAUACAUAUAGGUGCUAAAGGUCGCUCCAUAAGUGGUAAAUCAUAAAGAAACUCUCUAAUCCACUUAGCUUCUACUACAGUUGUAUCCAAGGCUAUGAAUUCAGAUUCCAUAGCACUUCUAGCAAUCAAAGAUUGUUUAGUUGAUUUCCAAGAAAUAGCUACUCCUCCUAGAAGAAAGACAAAUCCAGUAGUCGACUUUAUAUCAGCAGUAUCACUAAUCCAAUUAGCAUCACUAUAUCCUUCCAAUACUGCAGGAAAAUCAGUAUAAUGUAAUUCAUAAGAUACAGUCCCCUUCAGAUAUCUCAAAACUCUUUCUAAGGCAUUCCAAUUCUCUCUAUUUGGAUUAUAAGUAUAUCUUCUCAAUCAGUUCACAGCACAAGCCAAAUCAGGUCUAGUGUAAUCCACCAAAUAUCCUAAAGAUCCAAUAAUCUGUGAAUAUCUAUAUUGACCUAUUGGAUCUCCUCUAUUCUUUUUAAGAUGCACACUAGAAUCAUAAGGUGUCACUACAGGUUUAACAUCAAAGUAACCAUACUUUUUCAAUAACUGUUCACUGUAGUGGGAUUGGCUCAUAAUAAUUUCUUUUGAUUUUCUAAUGAUCUUCAUGUUGAGAAUAACGUCUGUUUGCCCAAGAUCUUUCAUAUCAAAAUUUUCAUUUAAUAAUUUCUUCACAUCAUAUAUCACAUUCAUAUUAGUACCAAAAAUCAAGAUAUCAUCAACAUAUAAGCAUAAGAUCACUAUCUGUCCAUUAUAUUCCUUCGAAUACACGCAUUCAUCAGACAUGUUCAUAUGAAAACCAUUUGAUAUAACCAAAGAAUCAAAUUUCAAAUGCCACUGCUUAGGAGCUUGCUUAAGUCCAUAUAAAGACCGAUUCAACUUGCACACUUUGUUCUUAUGUCCAGAAACUAUAAAACCUUCAGGUUGCUUCAUAUAAAUCUCUUCAACCAAAUCACGGUUCAGAAAAGCUGUCUUAACAUCCAUUUGAUGAACAAUCAAACCAUAAAUAGAGGCCAAGACAAUCAACACUCUAAUAGAAGUAAUCCUAGCAACAGAAGCAUAAACAUCAAAAUAAUCUACCCCUUCUGUGCAAAUUCUUGUGCCACUAAUCUAGCCUUAUACUUAUCUACAGAUCCAUCGGGUCUCAACUUCUUCUUAAAAAUUGAUCUACAACCUACAGUCUUACAUCCUAAAAGUAAAUCAGUCAACUCCCAACUAUGAUUCUGUAGAAUAGACUGCAUCUCCAGAUUAAUAGUCUCUUUCCAAAACGAUGCAUCUACAGACGUCAUAGCUUGGUCAUAGGUAGAUGGAGUAUCUUCUACUAGUAGGACACAAAAAUCAUCUCCAAAAUUUUUCGCUACUCUAGGACGCUUACUUCUCCUAGGUUCAGUCUCUUCUAUAGGUUCACUAAUUCUAGGUCUACUAGAACUACCUAUAGGCUCAGCUGGAAUACGUCUCUCUACUCUAGUUCUAAAAGAAAAAAAUCCUCAAAAUAUACUACAUCUCUAGCCUCAAUAAUAGUGUUGUUAGAAAUCUCACUAAUUUCAAAAUUCACCACCAAAAAUCUAUUUACAUUGCUAUCAUGUGCAUAACCCACAAAAACUAUAUCCACAGUCUUAGGUCCAAUCUUUCUUUUCUUAUUCUCAGGUAUCUUCACUUUAGCUAGGCACCCCACACUUUAAAAUAAUUCAGAUUAGGCUUCCUACCUUUUUAAAGCUCAUUGGGAGAUACAUUAGAAUUCUUGUGGGGAAUUCUAUUCAAAAUCACACAUGUAGAAACCAAAGCUUCCCCCCACAAGUUCUUCGGUGUGCCUAAACUAAUAAUCAUCGAAUUCACCAUAUCUAUCAAAGUCCUAUUUUUACGUUAAGCAACUCCAUUACAUUGAGGUGUAUAAGGAGCAGUCACUUGAUGCACAAUUCCAAACUCUUGACAGAAAGCAGUCAUCUCAUUUGAAGUAUAUUCACCACCUCGAUCAGACCUCAAAAUCUUGAUUUUCUUGUCUAAUUGAUUUUCAACUUCAACCUUAUAAAUCUUGAAUCUGUUUAAAACCUCAUCUUUCGAUUUGAUCAAAUAAACAUAACAAUAUUUUGAAUGACCAUCUAUAAAUGUCACAAAAUAUUUAUUUCCACCUCUAUUAGGUCUAUUUCCACCACAAACAUCACUGUGCACCAAUUCUAAAAGAUCGCAAUCUCUAUGCACAGAUUUAAAUGGUUUCCUAAGGUCCUUAGCUUGCACACAUAUUUCACAUCUAUGAUCAGGUAAAUCAAAUUUAGGAAUCAAAUCGAGAUGCAUCAAUUUUUUGAUAGUGUUAAAAUUCACAUGUCACAAUCUUCCAUGCCAAAUAUUAGGAGAAAUAACAUUCAUCACAAGAGCACUUUCAUUAAUAAAAGGAGAAGAGACAGAUAAUUUAAAUAAACCAUCACUCAAAAAUUCUUUUCCGAUAAAAUUCACUCAUUUUGUUAUAACUACCCUAUUACAUUCAAAAACUAACUUAAAACCCUGCUGAACUAAAAGAGAACUACUAAUCAAAUUCUUCCUAAGGUCGGGAACAUGGUAGACUCC